rnacentral:lncRNA from 1 species
ACGGGGGAUCUUGUAUGAUUAUGAAAUAAAAAUGAUUUGAUACAAGGUCAUUAUUAAGCCGUCCAAUUCCGCACAAGUUACUAGCCAGGGACCUUCUGGUUUGGGCCACGGUGUCACUAACCCGAACCAGUUGUGCCGCCAUGCAUGGAAGCUCGAAGACCAAAUGCGGUGGUUUUGGGGCUUUCAGGGCACCGGGGUCUAAAGACAUUAAUUAACCCAAUUUGCUGUCAAAAUGUCAUCGAAGUGACAAAUGUGACGUAUCAUAAACCAUCCACUGAAAGGCUGCGCACCAAAACCCCAUACCAUUUAUGACUUUCCACAUUUUGACCAUUGGCUACAACGACUUAAAUUUCACUUUUACGGAAUUACGAUUGCAAUAGCUCAUCCCUUUGCGCCAUUUCACAUGGCAUUUUCCUCAAAAUACAUUCUCCAAUAAUAAUACUAAAACUUAUUUCAUAGGCAAAAUAGCAAUGCUCUUAGUUUUCGCACAUUAGUCAGUAUGAUCUCCCGAAGCCAAUCGUUAAAGGGAGGAGCCAAUACCCAUAGUCAAUGAUGCAAGAAAAAAAAGCAAAAGAAAAAUUAAAUUAAAAAAAAAAAAAGAAACAGAGGGAAAGAGAAGAAGGAUGAGAACUUCUACAAUUGCAACUACAGUUCAUGACUUUUUUUUUAACCAUAAUUAACGUCGUUCUAUAUAUAUAUAUAGUUUAAGUAGUACAUAAAGGUGCUAUGGUUGUGUUUAUAUUUUGACUCCGUAUGGAUUAAAUAUUAUUGAGAAUGUUUUUGAAAAAUUUUGUUUAGAUUAUAUUUUUCUGAACUUUUUGUAGAAAAAUUAUUGUAACGAUUUAAUAUUGGGAAAAUGGUCAAAUUCGUUCCUAAACUUUUUUUAAAUGUUGAUUUAAUCCCUAAUUUUUGUUUUCGGCCAAUUUGAUCCCUAAACUUAUAUUAUGAUUUCAAUUAAGGAUUUUUACGGCGGCGCAACCAGAAAAAUCGAUCAAACUUCUUAUUAACCAAUUAAACAGGGGUAUUUUAGGAACUUUAGAUAUCUCAUCCCUCUAUCAUUAAUAUCCACCGCUUGCCACCCAUCUAUUCUUCUUUCAUCCCACCUCUCUUUACCCUCCCUCUAUCAUGUCAGUAAUUAUGCCUGCCAUUCCUAGUGUUUGCCUGGUUCAUAUUCAAUCCAUUGUGGCAUGACUUCUUCACGCUUUAUUCAUCACCGAACAAUUAAAAGUUUUGAAAUCCCAUUUACCGACGUUCUCUUCGGGGGAUUGGGGAUUGUGGGAAGUGGGAACCAUUUGCCAUCAAGUUAGCUUAAGUCGUUGGUUAAGCAACAAAAUUCCAUCUCGAAGGAAUCCAAUCGCAAUAACUAGUUUUUCUCGUCUCAGAAUGAUCAAACAGGGAAACAAAUGAUGAUUAAGGAAAAUAAUGGAUAAAUGUAAUCCAACAAUUUGUCCAUUUAGAUUAUAGGAUUUGAAGGAAAGAUCUAAUGAACGAGUUAAUUGGAAACACAUAACUCAAAUAAGAGUUCUGCCUUUUUUUUAUUACUUUGGCAAAAGAAGAAAUUGCCACAAAACACUUGCGUACAGUUUUGGGACAGAGUGCGCCUGCCGGAACAAACCUCCCCCCCUCCCCACAAACACAAAAAAAACAAAACAAAACUCCCAAUUCCAAUUACUUCUCCAAAAAUAUUACCAACCAAAAGAAAAAACGGGGGAAAAAUGAGAGUAAAAGUAAAGUAGUAGCUGCUGCUCCACGUACCAGUAGAAAAAGGGCCUGAAAAAUCAGCUAAGCAUUAGAUCUAGGAGAGUGAUACUGGUGACUUUCUUAUCGCAAGAUUUUUUGAAAUUAAUUGCUUGGCCCGCUAUUUAGCAAUCGGAUCCAGCCAAGAAGCUGACUUGUUUCUCUUUGUUAUGAUUUUUUUUUUUUGUCUUUUUCCCUCGCUAAGACCAGGCAAACACUAGGAAUGGUUUUUUUCCCUCGUCUCCUCCUUCUCUCAGUCCACCUCUCUUUCCCCUCCCUCUAUCAUGUCAGUAAUCACCAGGCUAAGAACAUGCAAACAUUAGAGGGAGGGAAAAGAGAAGAAUGCGGGAGGGAAAAGAAAUGUGGGGUGAGAGAAGAAGGAGGAGAUAGGUGGCAGACGGUGGAGGUUGAUAAUAGAGGGAGGAGAUAUCUAAAAUUUCUAAAAUACCCAUGUUUAAUUGGUUAAUAAGGAGUUUGAUCGAUUUUUCUGAUUGCGCCACGGUAAAAAUCCUUAAUUGAAACUAUACUAUAAGUUUAGGGAUCAAAUUGGCCGAAAACAAAAAUUAAGGAUUAAAUCGACAUUAAAAAAAAGUUUAGGGACGAAUUUGACCAUUUUUUCUUUAAUAUUUAUGAGGUAAAAAAGUAAUUGAAAAAUAUAUCCAUAAAAAAUAUAACAAUUUUUUUAAAAAAAAUUACAAUCCAAACACACACUUAACAUAGCGUGUAUACAAAAAAUUUGUUCUCUUAACCAUGUAUCAAUGUAGACUUGCCACUUACAUGGUCGCUUCUAUGGUGGAAAGUAGGUUGACCUGCCCACCGUAGGCACAAAGAGUGCUAGAAGGACAGCUCAGCACAAGCAUCUCUAUCCAUGUUUUUGGGGCCCAAUUGAGAGAAGGUGACCGGCAAAGCCUAUUAUCAUCUGAAGGAGCUAAGAGCAGAUACUAAUAUAAAUUGGGUUGGGUGGUUAAAUAAAUUAGUGAAACCAUAGAUGCUAUACUGGAAUAACAAUAAUAGCAAAAGACCCUAUAAGUGUAAAUUUUGAUUUUUACUUUAUCAUCAAUUGCAUUUUUUGCUUGCUUGUUUCAAUGGAUUUGCUAUCAUUAGAUAAUCCUAUCACAACAAAAUCUUUUAAUUCAGCACUUACUUUUAAGUGUACAUUUUGAUUUUUACUAUGAUUUGAUUAUCCUUAUCAUUAGAUCAUUUUAAUAUUUAAAAAUUCUCAAAUUUUGGCACUAAUUUACUGGUCAAAUUUGUGAUUUAUAGUUUGUCAUAUCCAGUACAACUAGUUGCAGAGUUAGAAUUUAAAUUCAUAACCAUCUAGUUAUUUUAAUAGUUCAAACGUUCAAUUUUUGAAAUUUUGUAUUAUGUGAUUUAUGUUUAUGAUUAUUUUAUCUACAAUCUCAAUUCUAUUUUCUUGGUGUAUUAUGUUAAUUAUAUUUAUAAUUACUCAUCUACAAAUUUGAUAUCGAUUUGAAAGUUACCAUGUUUCGUAUAAGAUUACUUAUCUAAUUUCUAAAUUAAAAUUAAAAUCUACCAAGUCAAUUAUGUCACGAUUCUGGUUUUUUGUAACACUAUGUUAAUUAUGUUUCUAAGUAUUCAUCUACAAUUUUGAUUCCAAUUAAAAAAAUCACUAUCUAUGAGGACUUAGUUAGAGGGAUCGCUGUUAGUAUAAACUUUUUAAUAUCAUUUUCUAAACUUUCAAUUUUAUCCUUAGGGAAAAACUUUUAAUUUUUGCUCUAAUUGCUUAAUCACAUUUUGCCAAUAUAACUACCCUAAGUAUUGUAAUUACCAAAUUACUAUAACCUUAUGAACCAAAAUUUUUCAAUAAAUUAUUGUGAAAAAUAAAAUUUUUAUAAAAUUAAUUCCUUUUAAUUAUUUAUGUAUAUAAUUACUCAUCUACGCGAACUAACAAUUAAAUUUAAUCCUUAAGAUUGGAGUACACAUAAAUACAUUUAUGGGCUUUUAACUUACCAAAAUUGCCCUUUAAAUACAUUUAUGGCCUGGGAGCUGCUCCCCAGCUGAUGCCAAUUUUUGGGUGCAAACAAGUGCCCAUAUGUUGUCGAGGAGCUUGCUUUUUAUUUCUCAUUGAAAUAGAAGGGAACCACAUAAUCAACCACUUCUACCCACCUGGUGUCCAGUAGUUCAUUUAAUAGCUAGCUCUUGCCCAGCCCCGCAAUGAUGUCUUGGCCAAAUUUCGUUUGCUCUUCCUACCAUGCACAGAUGCAGGGACGGAGCCAGAAAUUUAUUUUUGGGGGGGCCGAAGUGUAUUAAAAUUUUUUUUUUGUGACGAAAUAAAUAUAUUUAAUAAGUAAAAUUUAGAAUCAAUAAUUAUAAAAAUAAUAAAAACAUAUAAUUAUAUGGAGAAUGAUUAAAAAUGGUAGCUCUGCAGGGAGGAUCUGGAUAUGUUCGAGGGGUACGAUAUCAGAAUGUGAGAGUAGAUGACGUUUCAAAUCCCAUUAUCAUUGACCAAUUCUACUGUGAUUCGCCGACGCCUUGCCAGAACCAGGUAUGAUUCACCCUCUAGCUUCAUGGUUUUCCAGAAUAGCUGGUUAAUUGGGAACCAGACGGACUUUGUAUUUUUCUGCUUCUCUUUUGGUGAAUAAACUUAUUGAAAUUGAUACUAAAAAUUCGACAAAAAAAAAAAAAAGCUGCCAGGCAAUUGUUUAUACUACUCAUCCUUAAAAUAUCCUAGACAACGAUCUUUAUAUCAGAGUUCUGCAGUUGAAAUAAGUGAAAUCAUGAUACAAGGAACAUUAGCGGGACUUCCAAAAGCUAAAACGCCAUGAAAUUGCAUGCAGCGACAACGUUCCUUGCAGCCACAUAUGUGCUGAACAACAUCAACCUAGAAUCUAGGAGAUUGUACGCGUAGAGACUUCAUUUGCCAACUUCUCCUGCCAUAGGGUUUUGGGUUAAUGGAUACGUUGCACCUCUGGACAUGUGCUGACACUCCAUCAGACAAAGUAAAACAUACUUAUCAAAGAGAAAGCUGAGCUUGCCCUCUGCGGAAAUGGCUGGCGCUGGCCGUCGGAAUCCCCUAUAUAUAGGGGGUUUUCCGGCGGCUUGGGGGGGGCUUAAGCCCCCACCAGCCCCCCCCCCCCAUAAAUCCGUGGCUGCACAGAUGAGUCAGCUUUCCACCAUAGACGGAACCCCACUUACAUUACACCUGUACCUCCUAGCUAGCUACGAGAAGAAGCACUGCUGUAGUUAAAUUUGGGACCCAGGGUGAGGGAACAAAAAGGAACAACUGAGGUUUGGAGUAAUGGUUGGAGGGCGACGGGUGAGACCCAGGCAAAAUGUAGUGAAGUACUGAUAUCCGGACGACUGCCCCACUGCCGUGCCUGGCCCCUGACCCGGAGGCAGAGCGCGGUAGGCCCGUGUCUGUGUCAGUGAGCAAUUGCUUCUUCCUGCACGGCCUCUCACAUUUCAUUGAAUGUGCCAGUGUUUUAACCCUUCCGCAAAUUACAUUUUUCUCUUAGUCACGUGUUCAAAUUACCCUUUAGUAUUUCUUUUCGGUUUUUUUUUUCUCUUUAGAACUCAAAAAAUAGCAAGCCAUGAAAAUUGCAGCAUUUUUCAUGCUAGCUGCUAUUUCUAUGUAUUUUUUUAUUUAUUCAUUUCUUAAUCUUCCAUCCCUCUCUACGGCAUUUUCACUCCAACUGUCAUCAGACACAUAAUUGAAAUUUCGAGUCUCACAAUGUAAUAACUAUUCUAUUCAUGUAUGUCGUAUUAUAUUAAUUAGGAGUUUAGGCCCGCCAGCUAAUAGAGCUUGAGAUCGAUCAAGAAACAUAAACAUAAGCAAUGGAACUUGAUUUUUAUGCGUGCUCUAGAAUUCUCCAUUAAUUACCAACUAGACAACGUGUCCGUGCUACUAGUGCAUUUCAUUUUGAGGCCCUCCACGGAAAUAAUGCAAGAAAUUAUGGUGAGCAUCGAAUUACUGAACAUAAAAUUCUAGAUACAAGGCGAGUUUUCCUUGCCAUACUAUUGGAUUCUGGAAUUUUCAUAUAAAGUUGGAAGGCGGUGGCUCAUGCAUGCACGGCUGACUAGUCAGCCGGAGGAAUUAGUAUCGGUAUCACAUACAUGCAUCUGCAACCAAUGAAUGAAUGGAAGAUAUUUCCAGUACUCCCCCGUCUGGCAAUAUUUCGGUCAGCAAGGGGGGUUGUUUUAUUAAGUAUUAAGCUCGUCAUUAGAAUUUCCACACCACCUAAUGCCAUGAUUCACGAACAUAAUUCUCAAAAUUAUUUUCAUACUAUUUUCCUAUAUCACAUUCUUAUAAGUAAUGACAAAUUUAAUGCCAAAAGUCAAAACAACGUGUUUAGGCAUCCCAAACCUAAAUAUAAGGAGACUGGGAGUCGUGGUAAGUGGUGGCUUUCUCAUUGGUCCAUAGUGAGUAGUAGUUUUGUGCAAUUUUUGUUAUAAUAGUAGCAUUUCCGUUUCUUUUAUUUUUGAGUAUUUGGAAAAAAAAAAAACAACAACAACAGCUUAGUAGUGGCAUUUUUCUUGUUCAUAUCCGUUUGGAUUUUUCUUUUUUUUUUUUAAAAAAAAACAAGUUUUUCAAAUACAAUAUUACAGUAACACAAAUUAAAACAAGUCAAAAAAAAUCUUUAAAAAAAGUUUUUUAUAUACACUGGUACAGUGAAAAUUUUCAGAAACACAUAAAAAAAAAAUAGGUCAUCCAAACUUGAAAAAGUGAUCAUGCAGUAGUGCACAUAAAAAUAAUUCCUGAAUGAAUGAUGUUUUUAGUUGAUGCCUCCCUUACAUUGCCGUUACUUCCCCCCCCCCCCCCCCCCCCCCCCCCCCCCCCCCCCCCCCCCUCCCCCCCCCCCNNNNNNNNNNNNNNNNNNNNNNNNNNNNNNNNNNNNNNNNNNNNNNNNNNNNNNNNNNNNNNNNNNNNNNNNNNNNNNNNNNNNNNNNNNNNNNNNNNNNNNNNNNNNNNNNNNNNNNNNNNNNNNNNNNNNNNNNNNNNNNNNNNNNNNNNNNNNNNNNNNNNNNNNNNNNNNNNNNNNNNNNNNNNNNNNNNNNNNNNNNNNNNNNNNNNNNNNNNNNNNNNNNNNNNNNNNNNNNNNNNNNNNNNNNNNNNNNNNNNNNNNNNNNNNNNNNNNNNNNNNNNNNNNNNNNNNNNNNNNNNNNNNNNNNNNNNNNNNNNNNNNNNNNNNNNNNNNNNNNNNNNNNNNNNNNNNNNNNNNNNNNNNNNNNNNNNNNNNNNNNNNNNNNNNNNNNNNNNNNNNNNNNNNNNNNNNNNNNNNNNNNNNNNNNNNNNNNNNNNNNNNNNNNNNNNNNNNNNNNNNNNNNNNNNNNNNNNNNNNNNNNNNNNNNNNNNNNNNNNNNNNNNNNNNNNNNNNNNNNNNNNNNNNNNNNNNNNNNNNNNNNNNNNNNNNNNNNNNNNNNNNNNNNNNNNNNNNNNNNNNNNNNNNNNNNNNNNNNNNNNNNNNNNNNNNNNNNNNNNNNNNNNNNNNNNNNNNNNNNNNNNNNNNNNNNNNNNNNNNNNNNNNNNNNNNNNNNNNNNNNNNNNNNNNNNNNNNNNNNNNNNNNNNNNNNNNNNNNNNNNNNNNNNNNNNNNNNNNNNNNNNNNNNNNNNNNNNNNNNNNNNNNNNNNNNNNNNNNNNNNNNNNNNNNNNNNNNNNNNNNNNNNNNNNNNNNNNNNNNNNNNNNNNNNNNNNNNNNNNNNNNNNNNNNNNNNNNNNNNNNNNNNNNNNNNNNNNNNNNNNNNNNNNNNNNNNNNNNNNNNNNNNNNNNNNNNNNNNNNNNNNNNNNNNNNNNNNNNNNNNNNNNNNNNNNNNNNNNNNNNNNNNNNNNNNNNNNNNNNNNNNNNNNNNNNNNNNNNNAAAAUUUAGGUAGGGACCAAAUUUGAUCAACGUCAAUUUGUAAGGGACGCAAAAUUACACUUUUAAAAAUGAAGAACAAAAAAAAGUCAUUUUGUAAAAUAUAAAAAAUAUUUUGAACGAUUUUUCCUUAAAAUUAAUUGAGAAUAUGUACUAAAUCCACUUAUUUUAUCUUUUGCAUAAGUAACAUGACAGAAAAAUGGAUUUAAACCAAUUUGCAGUCAAGUUCAACAAUCCAAUUGGAACCUCAUUUACCAUAUUCACAUGCAUCAUCCCUUCUUUUUUUUUUUUAUACAGUACAUAUUUUUUGGCUUGCAAAUGAAGAGAGUCAAAUGCAAAGUAUAGUGAGCGUGGAAAAUUUUCUCGGUCUUCCGGAGGCAGGCUCCGUAGACUUUCUUCAUUGAUUUCUUCUCUGAGGCUCCGCCAGGCUUACUGGGUUCGAGGUUGUACGGCGAACUGUUUGGCAUUCCGUGCCAGCCCCUAUGCGACAGGCGACUGGGUCAUCAGUCAACACUAUAUUCCGAUAACUGUAAUAUAUAAAAUUGGAAAAUGCUACUCUAUUAAAAUAAAGUGAAAGAUAACUCAGCUGCGCGAUGGUAAUAUAAAGUCGAAAAAUGUUACUCUAUAAUUUUUUUUUUACUUUAUAAAUUUUUAUAUUUAUAUUUAUCGCUUAAACUUGUAAUUUUUAAUUGCUUCUUGCAGGUAAAUUUUUGGUGUUUCAUCUUUAGAACGAGUUUCACUGAUAGAGAGUUUUUCUACACAAUUUUCUCUUAUGUCCAGAUAUGCCCAACGGUGGACGGAGUAACAACUAACAACUAGGAGUAUUUUUAUUUUUAUUUAUAUUUAAAAAAAAGAACAACUAAAAUUAUUAGUAAAUCAAAAGUGCCAAUUUUUUAUACAUUAUUUGUAGUUUAAAUUCUAAUAUAUAUAUUUUUAUCGAUUUUGCUUAGUUUUCACUUUACACCCCUAGUUUCUUGCAUGCAUCACUUUGUCCCCUUAACCUUAUAAUCUUUUUCUUUUUGAGUAACAAAAUUUAUUUUAUUUUAUUUAUAAACACUCAAAGUUAAACUCGAUUAUCUAGUGUGUUGUAUGUGCUCUUUCCUAGUUACCAAAGCAUAGAAAAUAGCACUUGAUUAUGAGUGUAACUUACAAGAAAGGUUGCUUAAAUUAUUUUUUCUAUUUUCAAACUAAUCAUAACUAAUCGUACAUUUCUAACAAGAAAGAGUAAAUUUUUUGAUAUAAUAAGAAGGUAAAAAGUUACUUACUUUACAAGAUAAAAAAGAAAAAUCCAAGUGGACUUUGGGCUUGUUCAUAAAUGGGUAUAAGGACUUGGUUUUAACCUUUGAUUAUAAAACAAAUUAAGUAAACCUUUUAUACACUCACGGUGCAUACAUCAUCAUGAUUGGAAUUAUUAUGUAUUUAACGGUGAAAGUGUAUACACAAUCAGUGUGUAAAAGAUUAAUUCAAAAAGAAAUUUGAUUUAUUUAAAGACACAAUAAACUAAAAACUAAUAUUUUUUUGGGGGGGUUCACUUCUAACUGUAAUUUUGAGAACUAAAAGUAAUUUGGAACACGCUUUUUGUGAAGUCGUUUGAGGUUGGUAGUUGGUACUUAAAAAUCCAAAUAGACAGAGUGAAUUGAACAACUUUUCUCAAUCCCGUUCCACUCUAUACGAGGAUGAUAAGGGAGAAAUUUGUGAAAAAUAGGGGUGAACAAAUUGCAAAAAGGGAAAAUGAGGAAAACAGAAACAGAAAAGAGAAAAAGUCUAACUGUCGACCUUAGCUAAUUUUAAAAAGUGGCAGGACAUAUUGACCUUUGGAGGGAGACAGCCUCCUUCUCUCUCCGCGGUCUUCCCCACUCCUCCAUUUUUUUUUUUUUUUUGGGUUGUCUGGUGGAGCUACGUUCUUCUCGUAACCGCGUUUCUUCAGAUUUUUGCUUCAUCUUCUUCCUCCUUGAUUAGAUUUGCAUUUUGUUUAGUGAAUUUUAGUUUGUUUUCUUGAUUCAAUUAAGCUCCAUCUUCCUACGGUUGGUUGGUUCUCAUAGCUCGAAUAAAAUUUUAAAUUUUGCGAAUUGAAAUCCAUAAUUUCCUUGCCCAUGAACACCGGAGCGACCAUAUCACCGUACAAUGCAUGCCCACCACAUUGUCCUCUCCACUAACAAUGAAAAAGCCAACAGCCAGUUGGUUGCAAAACGCAUUUUCAUUCUCCUCGUCUUCCUCCACCAAAUCAACUUCCGAUGAUAGCAUAAUCAGCGGCCGCUACGCUGCAAAACCGUCUCUGUUCUCCAGCCGCGGUGGUCGGAGCGGCCGUCUGCUCACGCGAGCCAAAAAGCUCCGGCAUUUGACCGAUUGCGACGUCGAAUUCUCGCGCAGCACUCGGGCUUCUUUCGACGAUUCGCCUGCUAGAUUAUCUAUGGGCGCUUUUUCCCCAGCUGCUGCGGCUGCCGCUCCGCCGUCUCCUCAACCCCUUCCCUUGCCGGAAUUGCAGAUGUUGCUCCGUCGUGAUUCUAAAUCUGCUUCCGACAGGACAAUGUCAAAAAAUGUCCCUCUGCCGUCGCCGGGGGAGGCGCAUCAAAGGGAGUCUGGCGCAGAGGAGAAAGAAAAAGAGAAGAGCGAUUGUCUCAAUGGAGUUAUGACUAAUGAUGCAGCCACGUCGAGCAAUGCGGCUGGGAGGUAAAUAGGAAAAUAAAUUGAUACUUCUGGCUCACAUUCCAAGUAAUGAACGUUAAUGAUUCGUUUUAUUUUAUAUACCUACAAUUAAUCAUAAUUGCACUUAAAAGCUUGGUUUUUUCUUGCCCUUCACAAGCUCAGAAAUCUUCAGCAUUUUAUUUGGCUUAUUGGAGGCUGGUUAGACUAUAAAUAUCCUCCAUUCUUCACGGGUGAAUUUUUUAAAAAUGCAAUGCUUCGUUUCAAGCUUUAAAUGAGAUUCUGAAGAUGGUCGGUUGUGUACAUUUUCAGCUCGGUUGGAAUGAAUAACUAUUAAGAAUUGGUUGUUUAGGUACCAGAUUAUGGCAGACAUAUUUUUUCGUUGCACUGAUUAUACUCGUGCUGCUUUUUGGUUAGAGAGAGGAUUAGCAUGGUUAGUAUUUUUGGAAAUAUACUCAAUUGACAAGUGGCAAAGCUUCAAGAUUAGAGUUUUAACGAGAAAUUUUAAUUUAUUAGGAAGGUGCUACAGAGAUUGCAACGGAGAGAUAUAACACUAGUCAAAGGCAGCAGAAUAUGUCAACAACCUGUAAAUGUGGGUUAAUGCAGUUGAAAAUCCAGAUUUGGAUGCUCAAUCUAUUCUUAUCCAAUCAUUUAUUUUUUCAUACUUUAAGCUUAUCAAUCUAGAAUUUAUUUGCCUGAAACAUGACCUGUUCUACAUGUGGAUUUUCAAUCGUUUGAAAUUUUUAUUCUCAAACUCUUUGGAGCAAAAACCAAUACUAGGAGCAGAGAUCCUGAAGCCCAUCUGUUGGUUGAGUUGGAUGAAAAAGUUAUAAAGUUAAAUAUCUAGAAUUAUACACUUUUACUCCAUAGGGAUCUUUAACAAUUAUGUUUUUAAGAUAAUUGCAACAUUUGAUUUUUCAUUGCACCAUUUGCUGUGUCUUUCGUCAUACAACUAAACCACUCCAUUGGAUUUGCAUUCCUGAUGCCCUCUGAAUCUGGAAAAGCUUGACCUUUAUCGAUGUUGUUUUCAAAUCAUGCUUAUGCAGGUUAAUAAGCCAAGAUGCUCAGAAAAAUGUAGAAAAUACUGACAAUUGGUCAUCUAGGAAGUCACCUCCAAAGGUGAAUGGUUCAGAGAGAAAUCCCGAUAACUAUAGAAUGAGUACUCCCCUUAGUGCUCCUGCUAGUCCUUAUGCAAGUCCUGCACUUAGCCCACACAGAAAUGCUGGGGAUGUUUUGAAACCUCAGUACAUGACUCCACCGAGUCUUUUUCAAGUUUGGUCUGCACCAGAGAUGCCUUCUCUGGAUUCAACACUAGUUCCUGGAUUCUCCUAUCAAAGCUCCUCUGAGAUAGCUGCUUUUCCUGUAGAUAAUUCUUCACUGCCUAGUCCAAAAAUUAACCUCUCCAAAAGUCCUAAUGGGCCUGCAUCACCAUUGUGUAACAAGCUAUCAAGUGAGACCUCAGUGCCACGACAUGAUUGCAAUGCUCAAGCCAGUGUCAGUGUCCAUCCCUUACCUCUCCCUCCAGGAUUUGCCAUGGCUUCACAGCCUACCCUUAUUCCCCAGCUAACUCCUAAACUGGAUAUAGCUCCCAUCAAAAGUCAGUGGCAAAAGGGAAAGCUCAUUGGGCGUGGGACUUUUGGAAGUGUUUACGUGGCCUCCAACAAGUAUGGAAAUUCUGAACAUUUUUCCAAUUCUUUUCUAUUUUCUAUACAUUUGCUAGAUUGUUCUUUUUGACAGAAAAACUGGAGCUUUAUGUGCAAUGAAAGAGGUUGAAAUGUUGCCAGAUGACCCAAAAUCUGCUGAGUGCAUAAGGCAGUUAGAGCAGGUAAGUUUCGAGUAUGCAUUCUGUUGUGCUGUGUUUUACUUUGUUGGUCUUCUGCUUGAUUCUUUAGCUUGGUAAUUCAUAUUUGAAAAAUACAGAGUGUGCUGCUAAAUCCGACUUUUUCUGGCUGCUUCUAUUAGCUGAUAAUGACCAUCCUAUUGGCCAACACAACAUUUCAAGUUGGCAACUUUGAGAAUAUUUGUGUUCUAUCUGACAAAACUUUUAGGAAAAGCAUGAAAACUGCAUCCCAUCCAUCAUGUCCACAGUGAUAUUGGCAAGUAAACGACAAGAAAAUUAUUUGUAGUAGAAAAAAAAGUGUAUCAGUUACAGCUAUUAUUGUAAUUAAAGCAGUCACAGCUCCUUGUUUCUUUUCUGGUUAGCCAUGCUUCAUGAGAAUAUGCUAAUAAUUCAAUCAGUUGAAUGUACAACUUGUUUGUGCACUUUUUUAAGGGCAAAUUGUGUUCAUCUCUUUUCAAGGCAUUUGAUUAAACACACUUAACAGAUCACUCUUGAUUAGGUUUCAAACAAUAUUUUAGUGUUAUAUGUGUUCUGAUGACAUUUGUGGGGAAUACUACAUUUCCAUGUACUUGCAUGCCUAUUUUCUGAAGCAAAAUUAGUUUUUCCCUGCAUUUUGCCUUUUGUCUUUGAUGGUUUGAAAUUAAGUACCAAAAUUUUGGCUACAGGUUCCAUUUUCUACUUUUCAAGCCACAAAAUUGACUGUUUCUUUAAAUGUUAUAUCAUUGUCUCAGGAAAUUAAGGUUCUCAGUCAUCUCAAGCAUCCGAACAUUGUGCAAUAUUAUGGUAGUGAAGUAGUAAGUAUUCCAGUGGGCCAUUCAUUAUGCUCCUCAGUGACCUCUUUACAGGCCUUAAGGCAAUUUCUUGAUUCUGUAGGUUGGUGAUCGGUUUUACAUAUAUUUAGAGUAUGUUCAUCCUGGUUCAAUCAAUAAAUUCAUUCACGACCACUGUGGAGCAAUUACGGAAUCUGUUGUACGGAACUUUACUCGCCAUAUUCUUUGUGGGCUAGCUUACUUGCACAGUACGAAAACAAUACACAGGUAAAUUCAAUACUCCAAAGUCUGGUUUCAGGAUUUACUAAUGCGGCCAAGUGGAGUCUGGCGCGGUAGAUUUCCUGCUUCUUUGAUUUGCCAAUAAAUGGAUUGUAAUAAGGGGAGCCUUUCCACGCCUUGUGCAUCUGUUAUUAGAGAUUGUAUGAAGAUUUCAUGUUAUACUCUGCUGUAACCUUUGCCUGUUUUCUAUUUCGGGUGAUCCCCUUUUGAAUUUCUGUCGUAAGACCUACAUCUGAGUUUAGAGAUUUACUUCACAUAAAUUUGACCAUCACCGGAUUUUAUAGGGAUAUCAAAGGGGCAAAUUUGCUUGUGGAUGCUUAUGGGGUUGUGAAGCUUGCUGAUUUUGGGAUGGCCAAACAUGUAGGUGAUGAUUUCUGUAUCUACUACAGUUUGUAUCAUUUUGAAAUGAAAGAAGGGAAAUUAUUGUUUGUUAAAAAAGGCCUAUAUAUACAAAGAAUUUUCUUACUUGUUUUUUUGGAGUUUGCUGUUGAUUGAACUCUUCAGUCCUCAACACCCGCCCCUUUUCCCCCUCUCCCUCCCUCUCUCUCUCUCUCUCUCUCUCUUCCUGUUUUGCGGCCAGGCAAUGUAUUCAGCAUUCUCCUUAACUGUUGUAUGAACAUUGAUACUUGUUGCAUCAUAAUAUUUUGAUACAUCAUAUAUUGUUGGGUUAUGAUUUGGUUAAGGCAACAGCAAGGGUAGCUAGCUAGGAAAGCUUUGCGGUGUUGGAGGUGAGGAUUGCCUUAAUUCUUUCUACAAAAUCGACGUUAAGUUCAGUGUUUGGUGAGGUUGAAGCACAUUAUUUGAUCUUGGGACAUUCAUAAAAUAUGGUUAUAAAUUUUUAUGCUCUUUAUAAAAUAUAGUUGAAGCACAUUAUAUCAAUUAUAAAGAAUUUUUAUGCUCCUAAAGUAAAAACAAAAAGCUGUUGAGGAAUCAAACUUUGUGGAAAAAUAUCUCAGCUUGAACAUAUAGCAAGUUGUUAUAGAGCCUUUCCUUGCCAAUGAAACAUCAGUACUGCACUUUUUCAAGGUUGAAUUUCAUAGUUCCAGGGAACUGUAAGAUUAGAUCUGAGGUUUUGGUGGUACCAACGGAAGAAUUAUUGAUGUUGUGAUCAUGUCAUCUGAUGUCAUCUCUUCAUAUAUUGAAAAUUCUUUUGUUGCUAUUUACUUUGACUUCUUGUUGGCAGGCUAUUUCUGAUUUUUAUCAUGAUCAAACUUAAAGGUUUCUCUUUCUGCAGCUCAGCGGCCAUGCUGCUAAUCUUUCUUUAAAAGGUAGCCCAUAUUGGAUGGCCCCAGAGGUAUAAUCUUCUCCAAGAUAAUGUUUCUGAAAGCACAUUGUCUCGCCUUCUAGAUCUGAUAUUAGUUUAUUUCAUGCAGCUCUUGCAAUCUGUGAUGCAACAGGAUUCUAAUAGCGAUCUGGCAUUGGCUAUAGAUAUAUGGAGUUUGGGUUGUACAAUUAUUGAAAUGUUGAAUGGAAAACCUCCAUGGAGUGAGUAUGAAGGGGUAAGCUCUGAUGUUCAUUUUUAUCAUUGAAUUUACUUGAUAUUAGCUGAUUAAUAAGCUUGCUUUCUGGUGGUAGCUCCCUCAGAAUGUUGGAAAAUUCGCACAUUUUGUUUGCUUUUCUUGAUUCACUUCAAGUGCAGAAUAACAUUUUUGAAUAUGAUCUCUUUGAUUAAUUUUUUUGGUUGAUUAGCUGGAACCAUUUCCUUCCACUUCUUCCUUUGUUCUCUUUCAUGAUUGAAUUAAGCACAACUCAUUAAAUAGAGUUUGUCUUAAUUUCUCAUGAGAUUGUGUCGGUACCUUACACUAGCACCUAUAGGUUUUUAUGCCAUAGUACAGGGCACCUUAUGCAUGGUACUAACUAGCAUAGACAAAAAGAGUUGACUUACUAUCGUGUACCAGUGUCAGCAUGAUCUUCUUGUUGCAAUAUGUUAAAUAAAACUACUAAAAUCAAGAUUCCAAGUAAUUCUGUCCCCGUUUACAUUUAUAUUUUUCUUUUUCUCUAGAGGGAUGGAGGGAGGGAAGAAGAAGAAGGAUACAAUUAAUACAACACGUGUACUUAUGUUCCAUUUCCAUCAGAAAAUUUUGAUUCAAGUUUUAGUCUUUCAUUUGAGCUUGUAAUCUGCAGGCUGCAGCCAUGUUUAGGGUACUCAAAGAGACCCCUCCAAUACCUGAAAAUCUGUCAGCAGAAGGGAAGGAUUUUUUGCGUUGUUGCUUUCGUAGGAAUCCUGCAGAAAGGGCUUCAGCUAGCACAUUACUGGAACACCGUUUUGUUACAACCUCUCAUCCACCAGAUAUUUUAUCCUGCAGUCUGUCUCUUAGUGGGAUGAAAUUGAGGGUAAACUACUUCAGCACAUUGUCCUAAUGGAUGGCUUCUCCCGGUUUAUGGUUUAUUAUUGUUUAUGCUAUUAUGUGUUGACAGGAUGAUGCAAAUUCCCAAAGAGAGCGCUCAAACAGUAAGCUUGGUCAAGUCCCUGCAUACUCAGAUAUGCAUAUUGCCAAAGGAAAAGUGACUGACAAGUAAGAGUUACUCUAUGCUUUAAAAUGUUCAUUAAUAUUUUAUAUACCAUCUUCGCAAGUUUUUACUUUUACAAGCAGGUCUAUGUUAAUGCCAAAUCAUCUCUAAAAUCUUGUCAUUUCACCGCAUUCAUGUGAACCAUCUAUUGUAAGUGCUGACUACUGAGUUGACAGUUGAAUCAGUGUUAACUUUGAAAUGUCCUUGUGCUUCAGCUACAUUCAUGGUUCUCUUGCCCCAGUGAGAUUGGCCAACGACGUCGCUACAAAACUUUAACACUACAGGUGGUAGCCCUGUCAUUCACCUCAUUCAACAUUGGAGGUCCUUCCUAGUCCAUCUCCACACUUGGAUUCAAUUAUGUGAAGUUAUUCAUGAAGAGAGGCUAACAGUGAACCAUUACAGAAAUGGAAGGCGAUCUAACACUUGUUUUAACGUGGUUUUCCAUAAAGACCUCAGUUUACAGAUGCAUUGGAACUUAUUGUGCUCUUGUAGGUAGCUUGCAGCCAUAGGAAUUGCUGUCAGUAGGCUCUUUGCCUCUUUGUUUCUGUUCAUACUUUGAGAGAUAGAAGCACAAUAGUCAUAAGAGUUUGCAGGACCUGGGUUUUCAGAAGUAGGAGCUUGUGUCUAUUCACAAGGUGUAGGGCUUGAACAAUAUAGCAGCAACCAAAGCCCAGUUAUGAUUCUUCAGUCAGAGAAUUCAACAACGGGGUUCUUCUCUGAUGUGGAACGUUUAUUAUAAGCAUGCCGGGCCAGAGUUGAAAGAAUUGUAAAUAUCAUUUUGAAUAUUUGAUCAAGUCACUGUGCUCCUGCUCUUCAGGAUUUUUUCUAGCAAGACAAAAUUUACUUGUCAACUAAUCCACAGAUUAAAAUGUAGCCAGCAUGUUUGAAAGGGGUUGCUGUGUGUGUCCCACUUCCCAUCUGUGGCCCUCUCCGUGCGCCUCUGUUGUCGGAAGAUACUCUUUGGGAGGAAGAAGAUCUGCCAUUAUAAGAUCUGUGGAGAAUAAUAAGCCUUCUCCUUCUUGGACAGAUAAUAUCACAAAUUUGAGCUGUUGCAGCAACAAGUCAUGUGCCAUUUUUCGUUCCUAACAUUUUUGUUACUGAGGUGGAGGAUGCUGCAACUUUUUUUUUUUUUUAUUAUUUAUUUUGGGGGUAAUUAACUCUUUUUAGUGGUAUAGUGAAAACGUACACACUAGUGAGGGGGAUCCCUACAGCUAACACAGAAGUAUAUCAAACAUGCAAACCUGCAAUAAAAGCCUAUAACUGCCGGCGGACUAACACGCCGAGAAUCAACAAACGCAAAAAGAACUAGAAACAGGAAAUGUGCAGCUUUUUACAAAAGGCAUCUUGAUAUGUAUGCCUUGAACACCUUCCAGCCAGACGCCAAUUCUUCAAACAUCCUUCACAACCUGCUCAAUCACAACAAUCAAAGAACAUACAGUAAAAGCUUUUGACUUGGCCCAUUUGAAUUGUUAUCUUUAGGAACUUCUAUGGAAAAAAUUUGAUGGAGGUGAGAUAAAAAGGUAAAUAGAACAUACAUAUGUUUGGAGAAAACCUAAAAAUUUUCGUGUGUAAGCUCACAUUCCAAACAAGUAUGGAGCCACUACCGGGUGGAGGAGGGUGCAACCGGAGAAGCCUGUGAAGAUUUUUCACAGAGCUUUUGUAUGCGCGCCCGCCCAGUAGUUUAGUGGGAGCUAAUGUUUUGAUGACUGAUGCACAAACCACGAAGUCAGCAAUCCAUCUAAGCAUAUUUUGGUAAUCGUUCUAAGGAGCUAAUUGUUAAUUUCCCUUAACAAUUACAUAGGUUUGAUCAUAUUACAAAUUAAUUCCUAUAAUUUAUUCAAAUAACGGUCUCACCCUUUAAAUAAUCAAACAUUUAACAAAAACUCCUUUAAUGCCGAAAAUACCCUUUUUGAGGCCAUGUUGCAUUAAAAAAAAAAACAUAUUUUUAUUUUAUUAACCCUGAAACAAUCCAAAAAAAUAGAAAAAAGUUUUUGCUUAUUAUUUUAUAAAAAUCAUAUCUUUACUUUCAUAAAUAGUUUUGAAUCAAUAAUUAUUUUAAAUCUUAAAAAUGAAUAUUAAAAAUUAGAUAAAUUGAAAGAAAAAUAAAAAAGAAGCAAUUAUUUUAAAUCUUCAAGUAUGGUUCGAAUUUGUGGUUUAAAACCUGUUGCGGAGAGCACGGGACAUGUUUUCCUCAAUUUGAACCAUACUUCAGGAAUUAAAAUAAUUUCUUCUUUUUUAUUUUUCUUCAGGGUUAAUAAAUAAAAAUAUGUUCUUUUUUUAAUGCAAUAUGGCCUCAAAAAGGGCAUUUUCGGCAUUAAGGGGGUUUUUGUUAAAUGUUUGAUCAUUCAAAGGGUGAGACCGUUAUUUGGAUAAAUUAUAGGGAUUGAUUGGUAAUAUGGUCAAACCUCAGGGGAGGUAAAUGUAAUUAACCCUUAAAAUAUUUGUUUGUCCAUUAAACUAAAGAAGAGGAAAUAGCGCGCGAAGCGAACGUUAGGGACCUUCCUUCCAGGGCAAUCCGAGAAACGACAUCGUUCCGGGCAUGGCGUUUCGUUAUCGUGAAUUGUGUAAGAUUAGGUGGUCCCAGGUCAAAGUAAAGUCCACUCCGUCAAAACUACUACAGUUAACAAUGGUAAGAAUAAAGAAUUAAUUCUAAUUGAAUCAUCCGGAAAGGUAAGCGGGAAAGCCAUUGAUUAGGAAUCUAAAAAGUUAGAAAGUCCUCCCCACAAGCCACAACACAGCAACGGUAGUCACUAAUGCUACUGGCCCAUCAUCCAUAUCCAUCCACGCUUCUACGUCUUCACCGACAAAAAAGAGUGCGAGUUUUGAGAUGGAACCUCCCCAGGUCCAAGCAAUAGACGGCAACUACCCUCCACAGGAAGAUGUGCAGGACAAAGUUGUCAAUGAAUGGUACUUUUACUUCUCCAUUCUUGUUAAUCCUUUCUAGUUUCUUCUUGAAAUUCCGAUCAAUCCUUUCGAGUAAAAUUACAAGAUUUAAUACUGCUAGUUAGCUGUUGCCAUUUUUUUUUUUUUUUUUAAGUUUUUUGGUUCUUUUAAUGGGUUUUGUUUGAUGCAGUUGUUCUUGCUUCUAUGACUGCUCGGAUAGCUGUCUCGAGUACUUUUGCUGCUACGACCUCUGUUAGUUUCUAGGAUGCCACGGGAGUACGUUUACAGUUUAUCGACUUCUUUUGCUUUAGUUAUAAGAGCUGUCAUUUUUCUUGGUGUUCAACUGAAGGAACAAGUUCAUGGUCUUUGCUGAGAAAACUUGUUUUUAAGUGGCAUAUAAAAAUCUCUUCAGAUGAGGAAGUAAUCGGUUCUUCGUUCUUCAGAUCUGUUUAACUUUUUAUUUCUCUUUCGUUUUUUAUUUGUGGCUGAUAUGAUAUAUGAUCAUUUGCGUUGUGGAUAUUAUUGAUUGCUCGAAUCAUGGGAUUUAUUAUUAUUUUUUUCUUUGUCUUGAUUCUGAAACAAAAUAGCAUAGAAUUCGGCCGACCCAUUAGGAGCUUGUCGGAAAAAAUUCACUCCGACUUGUGAUGGAAAGAAAUAAAAGGGAGGAAUCCUGCAUGCACAAAUAAAAUAAGAAAAGGAUAGAUAAUAAAUCAAGAUUUAGAUGCUACUACUUCAUUCCUUUAUAAAUGCUUGGUCGACUGUGUAUCGCAUCGGUAGGGUACUAAGAUGGUUUUGAUGUAAACUUAAUUCUCAAUGUUAGUACCACCCGUUGUAAGGUAUUAGUACCAUUGAACUUCCAUGCAUGUAUCUUUAGAUUUGUAUAGAUGCAAAAAAAAAAGUGAAAGAUUGACGACAGCUUCCGAAGGCACCAAGUACCACCCGCAUCCAUUAUUGUCAUUUGCGCCUCUUAAAUGUGUAUGAUUCAUGCCUCAAUUCAUGGCCUCGAAAAUGGCCGGAUAUUAGGUAUAUCAAUCUAUUUGGAUAGCUCAAAUUUGCCAAAUCACUCGUUUUUCAAUCCACUUUUUUAUAUUCUUAAUCAUCUUUUUAUCUCAUCUCAUGUACAUUAUUAUAUCACAAAAAGUGUCAUAAUAAUUAUUUUAAAUAAUAUUUCAAACAAUACUUUAUCCAAAUGGCUGACGAGUAACUACUUAAAACAAUGAUUUUUAUCAUUUGUAGAAUAGAAAAUAGGAAUGUGACCGACGUUAUAAACUUUAAACUAUAAACCACUUUCGGCUGGGAAUUUCUUCGCAAAUUUAUGAUUAACUUGUCUUUCGCGAAUAUUUAAAAUCUUGAGGUAUGCUACUGGAAUCCUGUUACACACACACACACUUACAUUUUUUUCUGGGUAAAAAUUAAAUUUAAUUCCAUUUUCUUCCCUUAAGAGGUACAAGUGCAAGCCCGUCAUUUGUGAUAUGCUGUUGGAGUAGCGAUUUUAGCCCAAACUUCCUAUUGGGCCCCCUUUUUUUACCAGUCCGCUGGAGUUACUCCAGCCAUCUAAAUUCUAAUCUGCGAACUGAGAGUAAGGGUUCAUUUGGGGGAGUUGCGGAUUUGAACAGAAAAGAAAGGGAAAAAAGAGAGAGUUUGAUUUUCUUUUGUUUGUGAGUUUUUAGUAAGAGAGACAAGAAAGGAAAUGGAAGGAUGAAUAGUAGGCAAAAUUUUUCCUCCCAAAUUGGAGAGAAAGUUAGAGGAAGCUUGUGAAAAUUUUUUAAAAUACCUAUUUUAUCCUUAAAAAUAUCUUGAACAAAUAUUUAAUGACUUUUAUGUUCAAAAUCAUUCCACUAAUUCUCAAAACUCCUAAAUAACAUAACAAUCUCUUCUCUUCUCUCCUAACUUAAGUUUUCCCUUCUUCUCUUUUCUGUCCUAAACUCCCAAACCAAGCCUAAAAGUUCGAUCUAUAUAUAUCUCUGUUCGUCAAACUAAAUAAUAACCCUAAUCCGAAAUAAUGCUCAACCACUGAAAAUCACGUGCUUAAUGAAUCAAGAGUGGAUGUUGAGGCUAUUUUGAACAUAGCACAACUGACUUUUCAAAAACCACUCUUGAAAUUAGUGGCCAUGCAAGCAAAACUUGAUAAGAGACAUGUAACAUGACUCGAGAUAUAAGAGUGCAGUAUAAACUACUGGAGUACUUUUUUCUGUGUCUCAUUUGGAACAAAACACGAUACCAACAAAUUAUCAACAUUUUUCGUGGCCACUCUACAUAUCCCGGCCGUCAUGGUCACUUUUAAAUUAAUCAAAGUGGUCACAAUAGCAAGAAACUGAACCACAUCCAAUGUCCCUCGAUGCGAUGGUGCGUCUGCAUUAAUAAAAAUCUCCCAGUUGACCUGAAUAUUUGCACAAUUCCAACAUAGUCGCAUAUGAUUAUUGGCCUGUUCUCUUUGCACAUCAGCGAGAUCUUUCAUCUCAUUCGCUGAUCGUUUUGGUUUUGAGCAGAAGAUAUAUUGAUGCAACUAGAUUCUUAACAGGUAAGUUGCAAAUUGCAGCGCUUCUAGAUUCUGAACAGAUAAGUCACUACCAUAGUAGUAACAAAUGUGGAGGGAAAUGAUUCAGUCAGGAAAAAGCAGCAUUUCAGCACUGCACAGGCCACAGGUUGACGAGCUGCUCUUACCUGCGUAGAUUAAGUCUUCGUCGUCUCGUCAUCCAGUCUACUUAGCUAGUGCAAAAAAAAAAGUAGUCCUUUUAAUGAUGAAAAGAGCUCGGUCGGUACAGCUCUCUCAGCGCAAUAAUUGGGGAGACAAAUGCAGAGCACCAGCAUCCCAGUUUUUCCCCGUAGAAAAACUUUUUUAUGUCCGACUGAAUCUUGAGGUUUGAUUUAUGUAGGAAGAUAGUCUAUUAUUGAUGACUCGGUGUAUUGUGGAGAAAUAUAUGCCUCAUCCCAGCACUCAGGAUUUGUAUACUUAAAACACCUUGAGGUGGUGCACUGCUGACUGUUAUCUUCACUCCCAUGAGAGAAGUUGUGGCGUUCCGCCCAACUGGGUUGAAAAACUGGAACUUGAAAGUGACAUCUUACUUCUUAGUGACCUUGCCACUAUCCGCUCUCAAUUCUUUGUGAGGGAGCAUGCAUAUUACAACGAGCUGCUCCCUUCCGUUAUAAAUUGGACAGAUUUUCCUUUUCAUCUGCACAGCCAAUUAACUUUCGAAUCCGAGUUUUAUUGCGCUUGUGCCACCGAAAUAUGAGUCCUAGUAGAAUAGUUGCCUAUAGACCCUCAACUUUUGCUUGGUUCUGCAUCUUUUUUCUGUGUUGUUCUGUUCAUGGUCAACUUGAUUACAAGUUUUACGAUGAUGCUUGUCCCAACUUAACCAGGAUCGUUCGCUAUGGUGUCUGGUCUGCCAUCUACAACGAAACUCGAAUGGCUGCCUCUAUUCUACGCCUGCACUUUCAUGACUGUUUUGUUAAUGUGAUCACACUUCUUAUCUCGUAUACUUUCCUCACGUUCGUGCACAUUGAACACCACUAACUACAAAACAUAAGGGAAAAACAAAUCACUGAAGCGAAUUUCCAUCCGCAUCAAGACGCCAAAAAUUUCAACUAAAGAAGGAACUGAGCAUACAGCAAAAUUUUUCAUUCUUGUGUGACGAAAGAAGAAAUUAAUGUUGUCUUGAACGAGUUACAUAAUAUGUCAGGAUCAACUGAUGCUAUUACUAAUUACUAUCCGCAUUAAUGGUACUUUAAGAAUAAUCUUGAAUUCACAGUAAAGAACUUUGCCUGCACAAGUCUCUAGAGCUUGAUGGUUAAUUCAGAUUACGUUUGGUGGUAAAGGGGUGCGAGGGAUCUGUGUUACUGGACGAUAGCAGCACAAUAAAGGGGGAGAAGAAUGCAGUUCCUAAUAAGAAUUCAGCUAGAGGAUUUGAAGUCAUUGAUGCAAUAAAGGCUAAUGUGGAGAAAGCCUGUCCAUCCACUGUUUCUUGCGCUGAUAUAUUGGCACUUGCUGCUCGAGAAGCCGUCUACCUUGUAAGGAACUUCUCCUUGUUCUGAGUUCCACUUCCAUUUGCAUUUCUUUGAUCAAUGUUCUUCUCCUAAUAAAUUUACCCAAGCACAUAACACCAAUUUUCUCAGGCAGGAGGGCCGUAUUGGCCGGUGCUUCUGGGCCGCCGAGACGGCCUUACUGCCAGUGAAGGCGCGGCCAACACACAGCUACCCUCACCUUUCGAGUCCCUGGCUAACAUCACCGCAAAGUUUACUGACAAGGGACUCGAUAUGAAAGACGUGGUCGUGCUUUCAGGUACUCUCUUUUUUUUUUUUUUUCCUUGGGGGGAAUCAUCAAGUUCAAUUGUCCUGACAUGAUACCUCCUUUCAUAAUACCUUAAUGCAAAAAAGCUUAAUCCUUUAAUUCUUCGAAAUUUGCAAUUUCAACCUGCAGGUGGACACACCAUUGGGUUCGCUCAAUGUUUCACCUUCAAGCCGAGGCUAUUUAAUUUUGAUGGGGCGGGAAAUCCUGAUCCAACUCUAGACGCAACGCUUCUAACCAGUUUGCGUGGCUUGUGUCCAAAUGAAGCCAGCUCCGAUUCCAAUCUGGCUCCACUGGACGCAGCCAGCGUGAGCAAGUUCGACAACUCCUAUUACAAGAAUCUCGUGAACAACUCUGGGCUUCUUGGGUCUGACCAAGUUCUUAUGAGCGACAACACUACAGCUGCAAUGGUCUCCUACUACAGCAAGUUCCCUUUCCUCUUCUCCAAGGACUUUGGGGUGUCAAUGGUAAAGAUGGGCAAUAUUGGUGUGCUGACGGGGCAGGAUGGACAAAUAAGGAAGAAUUGUAGAGUUGUGAACUAGAAAAAUGUCGUUCAAUUCCUGUAAAUCAUCAAUGGUUGUCAAUUAUGUUUUCAUGGUGCUUUUUUUUUUUUUUUUUUUGGAAUUAAUGCCUCUUUUGUUAUAAAUCCCCCAAAGUUGCAUUUUCCAGAUGCAUUAGUAAAUUAUCCAUUUUCCAUAGAACACAUGCUUUGUUUACGUGUCAGUUGAGUUUGAGAUUGAAACCAUACUAGAGAUGUAAUCGAGUCGAAUCGAAUUCGAAUAUCACCGUACUAAAGCUAUACUCGAAUUCGACUCGUUAUGCAAGAAGAAUGUUCGAGCGAAUAGUAUUAUUGAAACUCGAGUUCGAGUUCGAGUUCGAUGAUUGCUUUCAGAACUGGAACUUGACUCGCAUUGGCUCGAGUCAAUGUGAGCCUUAUUGAGUUUGAGUCAAAAAUUUUUAUUUUUAAUAAUUUUUUAGCGAAAAGACCAAUAGUUGUUCGCUCUCGCCGUGUUCUCAUUUUGCACAAAAAGUAGUAGUAGUAGUAGUACUACCAUUUAAGCCCCGAAACCAUAGGCCUUGCUUGUAUCCAUAUCAACGUCCCAGCAGGAAUAGUAGUCCACGCGCCAUAGCCAUAGGCAGUGCUAUAAAGGCAGCAGUCCUACUUUUUCCAGUAGUCAAAUGACAAGUCCGCUGCAGGAGACAGACAAAAGCCCGCUGUAUGGUUGGAGGUCUCCUGUACGGUGUCCGGGCUUAAGGCUGAAAUCCUGUAAGCUCAAUUCUUAUCCUAUUCCUACGGACCAGUCUAUUACCAGUUCCACGCCACCACCAGGACCCGGCUUGGUUGGUUUUUCUUGAGACAGCGGUCGUGAUAAUUUAUGCACGAGCCAAUUAUGGCGAGGAAGUGAUAAAGAAAAGAAAUGCACUUUGACAGGGAAUUUUCUUCUUCUUCACAUGACCUCUAGCUGGUUAUGAUAAUACAAGUUAUGCAUAGGGAUGGCAACGGGGUGGGGGACCCCUCCCCCACCCCACUACCUACAAAGUCCCUCCGCCCCCGCCCCGCCCCGCCCCGCCCCCCGUCUCCCACUUCCCCCGUCCCGUCCCGCUUUACCUGCGGGCCACCCGUGAGAUUAAUAAAAUUUUUUCUGCUGAAUUAAUAAAAUUUUAUUAUAAUUAAAUUUUAAUAAAUAAUCAAGUAUUAAAAUAUCAACACAUCAUUAAGUUAUUAUUCAUUUUAAUUUUAUAAUUAAAACUCAUAAAAACAAUCAAACAAAAAUUAUUUGAACACAAUCCAACAUGAUGAAAUAAAUACAACUAAAAUAGUUAAGUUUUCACUUUUGGUACAAAUACAAUCACUAAUUCAUUAUUGUGUUUGUGCUUUUUUUUUAGAAAAAAAUGUUAUUCUAUUAAGUGUAAUUAGAAAUCUAGUAUAAAUGUAUUAGUAAAUUUAGUAUAACUAAUUAAUAAAUUCUAUUAGUAGACAUGUCUAAUUAUUCGUAUAAUUGAUAAUAUUAAUUAUAUUACAUACACUAAUAUAUAUUAUAUAAUACAUCUAACUAAUAAUAUCAUUAUCAUAAGUUUAUAACUAAUUAAAUUACAUAUUAUAUAUAUAUAAUUUUUUUGGCGGGUGGCGGGGCGGGGGAGUAUACCUACUCCCCCGCCCCGUUUCUAAACGGGGGGAAAAAAUUCCCCCCCGUCCCAGCCCCAUUCCCCGCCCCGAGAGCCCCCGCGGGGCAGUUGCCCACGGGUACCCGUCCCCAUUGCCAUAUCUAGUUAUGCAUUUUGAUAGCUGAUGAUUCACAGUGUAUAAAUUAUUAUUAUUCAAUAUAUAAUAAUUUAUCUGAAUUUAAAUUUAAAACUUAAUUUUUGUUCUUUUUUUUUCCGGCAACAAUAGAUAUUGUAUAACCUACUCUAACCUAGUUUAAGGGAGAUAGAUGUUGUAUAACCUACUCUAGUCUAGUUUAAGAAAAGGGACAAGGGAUGGUCAACUAAAACCAGCCACAUAUUGUGGCCAAAUUGUGGGAGACAGGGGUUGAUCCCCUGACCUCCAGCAUCACCAUUAUGGUGAUGACCACCGGACCAAAUGGCCAGUGGCCAAAACUUAAAUUUUGUUCGUAUAUUAUUUAUCCAACUGUAAUUAUGAUAUACCCACUAAUCAUCAAUAUGUAUAUAAGAUUCACUUCUCGAAUUCACCAUAAUUGAUGUGAUGCAAUGUAAAAUCAAUCCAAUCUGACCACAGGAUUUGUCGGAGGCAAUAGACUAGUCGUUGCAGCACCAUAAAUUCCCAUGGGCCAGUAGCAGACCAGGCCCCAGAGCAAGAUCAGUCGUCGAUUUGGUGGCGUCCUUCGCGUCCCAAAUCCCGCCCAUUGUUGGUCCACAUAACAUAACCUGCUAAAGACGAAUGUUGCCUACUGGAAAAUUUAAACGGUUUCUUCGCUGCACGACUCGUACACUCCUCAAAAGUGGCCCCACCAAAUCCCAGCUCCGCGACAAAAAAAAAAAAGGGGGAAAAACAAAAAGACAGUUCUACUUCUGCUGAUACUCUACCGCUUCUUCUAGUACACUACUACCACCACCACCGCCACUGGGUAGCAGCAGAGCAGAGAAGCAAAAGAAAAGCUAAAGGCGUGGCGAACAAGUUUUUUCCCGGUUAGAGAGAGAUGGGGAAUCCGAGAUGUUACUUGGACAUAAGCAUUGGGGGAGAGUUGGAAGGAAGGAUAGUGGUGGAGCUUUACAGUGACGUUGUCCCUAAAACUGCCGAGAAUUUUAGGGCUCUGUGCACUGGCGAGAAAGGCAUCGGUCCUCAUACCGGCGUUCCCCUCCAUUUCAAGGUUUCUCUUUUCCUUGUCCUAGUGAUUAUCUCAACUCUAAUGCUACAGUUUUCUUUUCAACAUAUUCAUUACAUAUGCCAACUUUCUGCAAUGUUUUUUGUAUAGGUUUUUGUGUUGUAUCAGAAUUUGCUUUUCAUUUUUUUCCCCUUUGUGAAACACUAAAAUUAUUUUUAUAUUUAUUAUGACAUAAUUUCUCGAGUUGCUUGCUUCCGUUUUAAUACCGAAGUAGAAAUUUCAAUUUCGUUACGAGCUUUUUUACAGUUUCGGUGGUGUCAUAUGAAGUUACAAGCUUGCAUUUUUUUGUUUUUAGAACCUGUGCAGUUCGCGUGUUUGUGAUGUAAAUGUUGUUUCGAGUGGACGGCUUUGCAUUCUACUGUUUCACAUUGUGAUUAUCUGCAUAUUUUAUUAACCAAAAAGUUAGUACAGAAAGAUAGCAUCGCCGAAAAUAUAAAAAUCGGUAAAUCAAGUCUAAAAGGCUUAAGUUAUAGUGAGGAACUCCCACCUUUAGGCUCCGUCUAAGUAGCAGAGAAUGUCUGCAAACAGGUAAGUAAUUCUCUGACAAAGUGAAGUCACUGGGCAAAAAAAAUUAAAAUUAUGUCGUUUCUGAAUGUUUGUCUAACUGGAAAAAAUUAUUUAAAAGAAAGGUGUGGUUUCAUGGAUGCAGGGCUCUUGUUUCCAUCGUGUUAUUAGAGGUUUCAUGAUACAAGGUGGUGACAUUUCUGCUGGAAAUGGAACUGGUGGUGAAUCCAUCUACGGCUUGAAAUUUGAAGAUGAAAAUUUUAAACUCAAGCACGAAAGGAAAGGGAUGCUAUCCAUGGCUAAUUCUGGUCCCGAUACUAAUGGUUCUCAAUUUUUCAUCACUACAACUCAAACCUCUCAUCUGGAUGGAAAGCAUGUUGUGUUCGGGAGAGUAAUCAAGGGAUUGGGCGUGAUUCGUUCAAUUGAGCAUGUCACCACGACGGAGGCUUAUUAUCCGACUCUUGAUGUCAUGAUAGCUGAUUGUGGCGAAAUUCCUGAAGGUGCAGAUGAUGGGACAUCUAAUUUCUUCAAAGAUGGUGACUGUUAUCCUGAUUGGCCAGCUGAUCUAAGCAUGAAACCAGAUGACAUUUCUUGGUGGAUGACCGCUGUAGACUCUGUAAAAGCUUUUGGAAAUGAAAGAUUUAAGGUACACGUCUAGUUAAGAGCCUAUUCAUCAUAUAAUAGCUGUGUAAAUUUAAACAUGCUGGUCUUUCAGUAUUUGCUUUAGGUGUUAGCUUUGUGAAACAAGAAAGUACAAUAACAUUCCCAUUUACUUGACAGCUUUUUGUGUAAUUUCUCCAAAUAGGCCACAUUAUCCUUCACCUGUGCCACCAAAUUAGAUCAUCAGCCUGUAUUUUAUAUUUGUUUAAGCCUUCUUUAUUUUGCAUAUUACUGGAUGGCCUAACUACUCUGAUACAGAAGCAAGACUUCAAAAUGGCUCACAGAAAGUACUGUAAGGCUCUUCGCUAUUUGAAUACAUGCUGGGAAAUGGAUGAUGUUGAUGAAGGUUAGUUACUUCAUUCUCUGCCCAAUGACAGUUAAGACUUUUGACAAGCAGAAACUAGGAAUCACCAGAUGAUUUUGUCCUUCUAACUUUUGUAACUGUGUGAUUGGACAGAGAAAAGUGAUUCCCUGAAGAAGACCAAGUCUCAGAUAUUUACUAAUUGUUCUGUAAGUUAUUUUACCGUGAUGUCUGAAUUGUAAUUGCUCCAAGUUAACCGACAAUGUAUCAAAUUUUCAAGAUGAUUGUACACCUUGAAGAUCUUCAUACAAUAUUAUUCAAAAUUACUAUCCACAUAUUCAAAUUUGGCUGGUAGCAUCUUUUGAAUUGUUCAACCAUAACGUACAUUUGUACUGAGCUAGUACUUUGAAAAUUGGGAUACUUUGCUUUGCUUUCUAACGAAAAUACAGAAUUCUGACUAAAUUUUUGUCUUUACUGCAACCUUAGUUCAGUUCUCUACAUGCGAUUUAAAUGCUCUCUUUUGUUGUCCUGGUUGAACGAUUAAUUUAUGCUAUCCAAGUUACAUCAACUAUUCAAAAUGUCUCACCAGUGCAGAGCUAUUUUUCUUCCUUUCUUCUUUUUCCUUUUGUGCAGCAGUUUUUUACUGAUUUCAACAUUGCAACAUUUGUAUCACAAGCAACAUGGUUGAUUAAGAUUUUCUUAUGGUGUACCAUCUGUCAGCAUAAUUUGAUGAUACUGAAAGUAUCUCAUGUGUUGAGAAUGUCUCCAACAUCUUUUUUUCUAACUAGUUUGUGCAACAGCACAUUCUUAUUCAAAUGCUGAACUUCUAACCAAGGAGCAUACUCUACUUUACUUGUGUAUAAAACUCCACUAUUCUCAUAUAUUUGCUCAAUGGCUGUCUUUUCAGAAUUUGAUCUAAACCUAUAGAUACAAAUAGCAGAAUUCUUGUUAAAUAAACAAUAGAAAUUUUCAACUGCUGCUAUGUGGUUUUAAACUUUUAUACGUCAGACUCUAAUUGCUAUAUACAUACACAUACACACAGAGGAACACACACACGUGUGUGCGUGCGUGUACUUUGUCCACACUUUUUAUUUUCCUAAAUAUUUAUUGUAUCCUAGUUGCAUAUGAACACUGCCACUUGCAUCAGUUGCAUAUAAAUUAAAUGCAUGUGAAGCAUUUACCCACUCCGUUUUUUGUAUUGGAAAGCAUCUUGAGAAAUAACAAAGUCAGUGUUCUAUCUUGUUCUGCCAAUGUCUUUACUUUUCCUCUCCAGGCCUGCAAGUUGAGGUUAGGAGAUCUUAAAGGAGCAUUGCUAGAUGCAGACUUUGCCAUUCGUGAUGCGGAUGACAAUGUAAAAGCUUUCUAUCGCCAAGGUCAGGUCAGUGGUUUUAGUAGCUCUAAUUAAAAUAGGCUAAAACUAACCAUUUUGUCUUUGUAACUUUCUCAACUUGUACUCUCAUCCAUUUAAUUGCAAUGUUUUGCCGCUUAUUUGCAGUAUUUGCUUGCUGUGCUUUCACCAUUUAGGUUGCUUGCCAUACUAUAAAGAACUUGGCAUUCUUUCUUGCUGGUGAUUAUAAUGUAGUUUGAGCAAUAUUUUCUCUUUUGUAAAGAUUAGACAGAUUUGAACAGGAUAAGUAUUUACCUGUUGUUGAGACUUGAGAUAAACCAGUAUUCAAUUAAAAUAAUGAAAAUUUCCGCCCCCCUCCCCCUCCCCCCCCCUCCCCUCAAAAAAAAAAAGCACAGGAAUGUAUGAGAGAACUUUAAAGAAUGAGUGGUCAAAUUUUAUUCAUAACUAUUUGCUGCUUGUGUGCAUUCUCACUUGUGUUUUAUAUGUAUAUCCUUAUCUGCGUCAUCUAUAUGCCAUGUUUUAGCAUGUAUGGCUUGCACUAUUUCUUUUGUAGAUUGAUCUACUUCAGCUGGGUAGACAUUUGCACUUGAUCAACUGUUUUGAAGGCCUUUAAUCUGUCCUCACUAAAUUCUCAGGCAUACAUGGCACUCAACGACAUCGAUGCAGCAGUUGAAAGUUUCAAGAAGGCACUGGAUUUGGAGCCAAAUGAUGGUAAAUAGCAUACACUAUAGAUGUUCAUGAAAUGGAAGACCAAAUUUUGGAUAACUGUAUUGAGUUUUGACGCACUAAUUGAAAUAUUUCAGUCCUGCGUAGAUUUAUUCCAGACAUAUGACUAGAUGGAUAGUUAGACAUUAAACUUCUUUUUUUUUUUUCAACUUGCAAAUCUCCACUGUUGGAAAAUAGUUGAUAUUAUCUGGCUUUAGCAGAAAAAAAUUUGUUUAGAAUGUAAUAAUAUCCAUAGAUUUUGUGAAGGUUUGUAUUUCGGGUCAACAGCAAUUAGAUGACUAAUCUGAAAGAGCAGGGUUAAAUUUAUGCUUAGAGGUAGUACGUUAAAAUAUCUACCGUCUCCUAUAAAUGAUCAAUAAUUGCAUUACACAUACUGUUUUCAGGUGGAAUAAAGAAGGAGCUUGCAGCAGCAAGGAAAAAGGCCAGUGAAUUUGAAUCUUGAUAUCAACAGCUUCAUGCUAGACAUUGUCUUUCUUGUCAAAAUAUCCAAAUACAAAAAUGUAAUCCGACUCCCAAAAGGGCUUCUCAAAUUGCAGGUUGCUGAUAGACGUGACAGGGAGAAAAAGACUUACUCAAGAAUGUUCCAGAUGAGCUAAAUGCAGAUGAAUGGUAAUUUGAAUUGAUUUCUUGGAUACUCUUCUUGACAUGGAUAGAUGGAGAUUUUGAAUUACAAAUUCAUUUGCAGGCAGUAUUCAACAGUUGUCAGGUCUUCUGUACAUGCUAGGAUACAUUGAUUAACAACUGAAAUCAGGUACUUUCACCUGUAGUUACUUUUGUCAACGUGAAGAUCGUUAUUUGUUUCUUUCAGAAGAUGACUUUUUGUGCUCUGGCCUCUACUUUUCUCCCUCUGACAUUGCUGCUGGACAUACUGAAUUGCACAAGAUAUGAAAUUUAGUACAUUUGUUUCUGCUCUCAAUAGUAACAUGGCAAAUCAUUUUCUUUCUUCUAUACAGGCAGUCUUUUUGUGGAGUUCGAGUUAUUUUGAACACAAACAUGAAAUUUCAAACACCAAAUAGGGAUAAUUAUACAGACUUGAACUCAAAGCGAUGUUAUGUGUCAAGUAGAUCGCAAGUACAUGUAUGCAUCUGACAUCAUCUGAAGUAUGUUUUGAUCUUGACUACCAAAGCUCUUAUUCCGCAAAAUGUGGAUAAUUUCUUUUUCUUGGACAGAUAGCUGUUUUUACUUCUUGAUAUUUUAAAGCUCUGUUGUGGUUGCCUCUGGCUAGAUUUGGCCUGUAAGUUGACCUGAACUUUUGGGAGACUGUUUUGUCCAUUUCUGGAGUGGAAUCUUGCCUUGAGAUUUUGCUCUUGUUCUUCCCCUUCUGCUGCAGUAUGUUGAUUAAUGACCCCAUGAGCAGGAUGUUUCCUUUUGCUUGAUCCAUUCUUUGAACACAAGUUCUGCAAUCUUCUGGCAGCUGUCUCUUGACUUUCCUCGGCUGCCUGUUUUUGUUCCAUAGAGACUGCAAUUCGCCAUUCUGCCAGCGAAGUUUCGUCUCUAACUCGUUUUGUUAACGCAUGGUACUCUUCUUGAGUAAGCUUGACCACAGUGUCAUCUGUCUGGAAAAGGCUGAUGUAGCGUUGUGCUUCAUGAGCUGAUGCAGCAUAAGCUUCUGAUUCAAAUCGUAUUGCUCUAAGGGUGAGUUGCAAAGUGCGAAGAGUCUGCCUCCUUAGACGUAGAACUUGUUUCAGUUUCAAUCUUGUUCUGUGUUUUUCGUCUCUUUCCAUCUUGAGCUCCUCCAUCUCUUCCUGCGUCUGUUGCAAGACCUGAUUUAUCCUGUUGAUCAUUGUUCGGAUCUUCAGUUCUUCCUCCUUCUUAGCCCUGAUAGAGAUACUCAACCUUUCAAGCUGAGACUCGAGCUCUGAAAUAGCAACGUUGGAUGGGGAUGUUCGGCUCUUUGCAUCUGCAAGUUCUGACUGUAGCUUUUCAAGCUCAUCAAUCACAGGUCUGGAAUCUAACCAGGAUUGUACCGCCUCAUCCUUAGCCUUCGUGAGUUUCUCCUUCAGUUUUUGUAGUUCUGCCAUCUUGGCACCCAUUAAGGUCCCAAUAGUUUCUCCUGGUUUUCCUUCCUUCACUUCAGACUGAUCCUCCAUUUCGCCAUAGGAGUCCAUUUAGCUUUUGCGCUUAUGAAGAAAGGUACUCAUGUUGAAUUGAGCUGAGUUCGUUUCCAAUGCGUGGACGUAGAGCAACCUUGUUUAUUGGUUUUUCCUUUCUGUUUGGUUCCCUGCGAGAUUGGACUACGAUGAAUUGACAGGUUCCAUAAAUAUUCGAUGAACAAUACUCGACAUGAGCUUCUGAGGAUCUUAGGAUUUGUUUUCCUUAAGCGGGUUUGGAGCUUUGGGGAUAUCGCCUUGUUUUGUAGGUUUUGGGAUCGGACGCUAGCCGUUAGAAUUUUGGUUCAACAUUUACGUAGGACAAGAUGCCAGUCAGUCGGCCGGGGCAGCAUCAUCUGUCUUAUGCUUUCUUUAAUUUCCCCGAAUCAGCUAUUACCUAAUGAAUUGGUUUGGCUAGCUCGAACCCCCUUUUAGCCAUUCGUCUAAAGACGUUGGUUACUGAUACUAAGCAGAUUAAACAAUUGACAACAAUAAGCGUCUUGCGAUUUUAUUUGCUUUUUAAGGGCAGAAACAACAAAUGUUUUCUGGCUGGGGACUGGAGAUGUGGUGCGGUGGGGUUUAGGGGGACGGGGAACAUGCAGCCUGGCGCUGAUGUCGCCAAGGCCUGUUUGAUAAGUUAAUUUAACAUUUAAAUUUAAUAAAUUUAGAUUUUAAUAUAUUUAAAUUGUUCGAUAAUUAAAAAUUGAGUAUCUGAAUUAAUUAAUUGGCAUUGAAUUUUUUAGGUAAAACUUGCUCUCAAAAUUAAGUGUUAAAUUAUUCACUUUUCACUGAAUGUGAUAUGUAUUCAAUUAUGUUAAAUUUAAUACUUAACAAUUCAAUAAUUUAAUAAAUUUAAAUUUUAUAUUUUAUAUUUUAAUUUUAUCAAACGCACCUUUACUAUGCAUUUACCUUUGCGUGUCUUUUGAAAAUGAGAUUGGCCUGCGACAGAGAUGUGCCACUAGGCCCACCACUCACCCUGGGCCUGGGAGUGGGUUGACACUGUACAAAAUCUGUUUGGUAACUCAACUCGAUUUUUCCAUAGCGUUCCUCACAAAAUCAAAAGUUUUAUAGGGUAAGAACGCCAGCCCAGCCAAGUAACAUUUGAUCGAGUACUUACUCUUGAUCUGACUCAAACUCUCCACCAUCUUUUUCCUGCUAAACUUUUUUGUUUUAUUCCAUUAAUCGGUAAGUUUUAUAUUACAUGGCAUUAGUUACUAGAUAUUUCCAAAACAUAUUCACGUAUCUUAGCUCAUAAUUUUUUUUGGUAAUGAUGUUUUGUUCUAAGCCCGAUGCUAGCGAACUCUCCUACUUUUGAGCAAAUUGAUAUUGAUACCUGCGUCAAUUAUGAGUUUGGUUUUUUUUUUUUUUUUGGUUGGUAAUACACUGAAACUCAUUGUGGGAAAAUUCAGUGAAAAAUAAAUUUUGACAUGCGUAAGAAUCGAGCAAUUAAUGAUCUCUCAACCAUCUGAGAGAGAAAUGAAUGCUUGGAAUUUUUUAGCCCGGCGAGAAAAGGAUAUUAAUCCUUUGGAUGCUAGUAAAAUGCCUACAAAACAAAACCAAAAAAAAUGCUAAUAAAACAUUCUAAGACGAGAAUCGUCAGUUGGCUAGUCGGAGCUUCCUUUCAUCCGAAAGCAGCUUGGCAAAUUGUGUAAGAGCUUCUUCGUUGGUGCCCUCUCCUUGAACAGCCUCAGAUCUUCCGGUCUCCAAAUUCACCCUCGACACUGGCUUCUUCAGCAGGCUGUUGCCAAUCUGGACUAGAGUCUCCAUAUUUUCCGUGGUUGCGACAUCAACUGAUGAUGCAUCCCCAGUCAAUCCCUCUUCCUGUUAUUCAAAGACCAAGUGGCCUCAAUUAGCAUGCACUCGUGUUGUGGUUUGAUGCUAACAUUCAUUAAAAUAUGGUCACGGGUAUAUGGAAACUUAUUAUUAUUAAUUAGCACGGCACUUGUUAUUUUGGCUUUGUGUUUGUUUGGUUACCUGGAUGCGAAGGUAAUUUUUCUCACUGCCAAGUGAUUGGAAGAGGGUUGAAACGUGUAUAUCAACCAUAUCAGAUGUUGCAGCACCAAAAACAUCCAGCAGCGGCGUGGCACCAUUGCUGUAUACCCAUCCCAGCAACCCCCACUGGUUAGCCGCUGCGGCAGUGUAUUUUUCCUCGUUUUUGGCCAUUCCUGUGCCUAGCGACAACACCAGCAUUCUAUUGCUCUCCAUGGGCUUCAAAUCCGUCAAUUGAAAUUGGCCCGUCAAAAUUUGUUUGGAAAUAUGGGUUAUGGCCAUCAGAGUCUAUGGAGAAUUAUAUUAUUUCAAAGGAAAAAAAAUAUAAAUAAAUCAGCUCCUUUUAGACAGCUUUAUAAGUACCAGAAAGCAAGUCUCUUCUAUAAGCAGCUAAAUUAAGGAGAGGGAAGAUGUGCAACACAUGGUGAUAGAGAUACUGACUGGAUUAUUAGCAGCAACUCCUCCAUCAAUGAGAUCAAAGCUGCGUGUGUUCCCUUGUGCGUCCUUGGUCUCGAAGUAGUACGGUGGAAGAUAGGUGGGUGCUGCGGAAGUGCUGAUGCAGACAUCUGAUAGCAGAGCAUUCUUAGAAGCAUUUGCUUUGGCCUGCUUAAAAGUAUAUUCAGGCACGUUAGUGUGAUCUAGCAUCCAUCAGUAAAGUCUUUUAUAGCACUACUAGUUUACAGGGACCAUACGUCAAUUGUGGAGAAGAUAAUCGGUUGAAGGCGCUUGAUAUCGAAAGUGGGUAUGACCACGUCUGUUAACGUGUUUUCCAUGGUGAGAUUGCCCAAUAGUCUCUUUAUCAACGAGUGCAAGUACUUGCCAUCGUACUUUGGUCCUCCCAACAAAUUUGUAAGCGAUUUUACCACGUCCUUGCGGCUUGAUUGAUUACACAAACGUUCAACAAUAAAAUAGAGGCAGAAAUUUUUUUUUUUUCUUUUGAAAGGAAUCUGAAUUUCGAGGAACUAAAAAGUUUUGGUCUUACUAAGUUUUUGGUUAUCUUGUAUACCUGCUCUCGGGAAAGAUCUGGGGGGAGUUUUGCAAGUAGAAGCUGGUUAUGUCUUUGGCAGCGUAAAGAGGGCGGCUGUCCUUAUUUGGGGCAGUGAGCAUGGUGGUGACAAGCCCACCUGUGCUAGUCCCUGCAACUACAUCAAAGUAAUCUGCGAUUCUUGCAUUCGGUCCAUCGAGUUCCUACCAAACAGUCAAGUAUGACGUACUUUUAAGUACUACUACAAACUUAGAUUGGUUGUAAAUGGGGUUUUAUGUUGUAUACUUAAAAAUUCAAAACAUGAUUAUCUGAAAUACCUGAAGUUUGGCUUCCAGGAAAGCAAGAAUGGUGCCGGGAAUGAUGCCUCUGAUACCCCCUCCGUCUAUGCUUAGAACUGUAGCCAACCUUCCUUUAGUUAUAGCAUCUGUCAAAGGAGGUUGUAGGAGGUUGAAGGUUGUUAAUAAGGCAAGUGUUAGGAUUAGCUGAUUCAUCUUCAUGCUUUGGGCCAAAUUCCGACAGGAUCUAUAUAUAUACACAGAUAUAAUCUAGUACUUCCCUUUUCUUCCUUUUUUUCGGCGAGGAACUGGAUUUUAUAUUCUCAAAUCUAAAAUAUGCAUCAGGGGGAAUCAAGAAACUGGCAAGUAUUUUGCAGAGAAGGAUCUAUAUGUACUUGAGAUUUCUACGAGUAUGAUCUCAGUUCUGGUUUGCAGCCAUGGGUAGACUUUUCCAUCAUCAACGUCCCAUCUGUUUACGGAAAAAGAAUAGUCCCAUUUCCUCCUAAAUGGGAUUGGCAGUGAAAGUUUCUUCACGUGUCAACUUCUUAUCUUUCGUCGCCUGACUAGCUAUUUUCGAUCCGGUACCAUACUACAUUUAUGGUACACCAUAUAUGAAAGCUGACAAAGCAAUUGUCUUCCUUUUUUUUUUUUUUCAAACCGUAGGAUUUCAUAAUAGUUUGUUGAUUUUUCUUGCAGUCAUCAAUUAUUGAAUAAGUACUAUUCUUUUGGGCUGCGGAGCAAAUUAAGCUGCGUACUCUUUAUUGUAAAAGCACUUACGUAUUAGACCUGUAAGAAAAAUCUGGAUGAUUUUUCGUUUCUUCAUACCAUACCGUUGCUAAAUGAGCUCAGACUUUGACAAAAAAAGGGGGGACUGAAGCUUACCACGGAGAAGCCAGUUAAUUCUCUUUUAAAUGUCGAAAAAGCAAAAAAUAAAAGAGUUUCAGGAGAAUGACGAACAUAAUAAAGUGAGGAUUUAGGAAGUUGAUAUGUUCUAAUCCCCGCAACAAUCUCAAUAAUGUGACCCAAUUAUUUGACUGAUCAUGACAAGUAUAUUACGUGGAUUGUAAUUACAUGAAAUGAGACGUAAAAUAGUACAGUUUCUCCCUUCUUGAUUUUUCUAUUCCCUGGAUUAUUUAUUGCCCUUAGCAAAGGAUUAGGGCGUAGAAAACCCAGUCACAAUAAAAUGCUUCCUUUGAACUUCACAAUCAUACGUCUCUCAAUAGCAAUAACAGCAUCGCUUUUUGAUCUAAAGGUCUUCCCAACGCGUUUUUCUGCUCGACUAUCUCUCUCUCUUUAGUCUUUUCUCGGCGAGUUACUUACGAACCGGAGUUUCCUGAAUUCAAAAGCGUCCUUUUGAUCGUCGUCAACAAAGCAUCUUGUUCAAGGGCUGAGCUGACCCGACCAAGAAGUGUUCUUCCUUUGCAACUUCCGACCGAAUGGCAUCGGUUUUUUCUUGAUUGUGAGAGGUACAUAAAUAUUCCUGACCAACAUGUGAUAACCACUUAAAAUUGUGAGUGGGAAGCAUGGAUGAAUCAUUCGCUGUAAAGUGUAAAAGCCCCGCAUGCAUUGUGGGCGAAUCAUCUUUAUCUUUGCCUUCUUUGUCCACACCUAACGAAAAAAUGUUUGAGAAUGAGAAAACCCAAUAAGUUCUUCUUUGCUAAAAUGUUUGGGUUGGAACGAUGAACGAUAGACAUGUCGAAUUCAGUUGUGUGUAAUAGAAACAAAAUGGAUUGAUUCACUGAACUCAAACUAAGGUUCCGUCUGAAUUCUUAAGUCUGAAUUCUAAAAUCUGAAUACUGAAACAAUUAAUUUGCUAAAUUUUAAGUACUGAAAAUAAAUACAUGAAUAUCUGAAUUUUAAUGUUAAAUCUAUUUAUACUGUUUGAUAAAUAUUUUAUAACUAAAUGCUUAAUAAGUUAAAUUUGACAAUUUUGUGUUUAUAUCUUUUCAUCCAAAAAAGAAAUAGAACCUAUGAUUUAAUUAGUUUAAAAUUGUUAGGUAUGAAAAUGACAAUAAUAUUUAUUUUUAAAUCAAAUUGAUAUAAAAGAUUAAAUAUAUUAUAUGAGGAGUAUGGAGAAGGUGUGAAAGUUAUUAAAAAGGAAGAAAAGGGAAAUAGAGAACCGUUAGAUAGAAAAUAUCAAAUUAUUUAAUUAGAUAAAAAUUUUGAACAUAAUUAACAAACAAUGGUAGAUUUGAUAGAUAAAAUAAGUUAGUUGAAAUAAUUAUAUUGAUUCUUAUCAAAAUUAAGCAUUCAGUUAGGAUUCUUGUACUGAAAAAAAUACACACAAAUUUAGCACUGUUUAACAAGUUCAAUAGAUGGAUUUUCAUUUAUCAAACACUCAAAACAUCUGAAUGUAUGAAACAGUUCAGGUUGAGCACUUUUUAUAACUAAAUAUAGCAUAUUAGUCAGCUGAUUUAACGUUGUCGCAGGAGGUAAAGUGUCACGGGGAAAAGACUCCAUGAUUCUAGGGUGAAUUCACCGCUGGGAGUCUGAAAUGACUUCUCCGAUGUAUGAUAGCUGAGGCACCGUCGGGCUUCAAUCAUUGGAGAUUGGAUCCUCUGCGAUUGUAAUUUGUAAAUGCAAUCGCAUGAGGCAAUUAAUGGCUGAGAUCGGCCGAGUCGAAUCAAAACUGAUCUCAAUCCUUAAUUUGAAUUUCAUAAUUUCAUCCUUUCUAUCUUCAAAAUGCUUCUUUUAAUUCAACCAUUUAUGAAUUUUUUUUUCCUAUAGAGAAGAACCAUUUAGGAUAUAGAAAGCAUGUAAUUCGAUUUUCCAAUUAGUAGCAAAACCGACUUUAGUAAGACUUCAAGAAAGAUAAAAAGAAAAUAUGCACGGAAUGAUAUCUUUGUCUAACAUUGCCAUACCGAAGAAUUAGUUACACCAGAUUAUCACAUCCAACUAUUGAUGUACAUAUUACUAAUUGGCGGGGUUGUUCAUCGGCCCGGUGAUCGGUAAUUCAGUAAAAAGAAAAAAAAAUUAAUUUUUUUCAAUUUUUUUUCAAUAACGUCAACAUUCAAUUAUCGUCCAAACUUUUACUUGGUAAUUGAAUUUUAGUCGAAUAAUCGGUAUUUCGAUAAAAUACCCAAGAUUUUUAUAUUGAUUUUCUAAUAUAGAUUAGUUAAGUACAUUUAAUAUGUAAUUAAUAAUAUAAAAGUUAUUAAUAUGUUAAUUAAUGUGCUUUUAAGGUCACAUAUUUGUUUAUGAGCAUAAAUUAUAGCAUAUAACAAUAAUAUGUAAUAUGACAUAUUAUUAGGCAUGAAAUAUAUAAAAUAUUGACUUAAAAUAUGAAAUUUAGUAAAAUCAGGAGUUCAGAAAUAGAAUUUCAAUAUCCAUUUCCAAAAUGUUUCAUCAAAUUUUAAGAUUAGAUCUUAAUCGAUUUUCUCGAAUUCUAUUUCAUCCGUAUCCAAUUUUUGAUCUAAAUUUGAUCGACUGUUCAUUCGAUUUCUGCCGAAGUGUGAACACCCUUGCUAAUUGUUGAAAAAAUGAUUUGAUAAUUGAUGAUGAUCCAGCUGAAGCAUGGAGAAAAAAAUGACCACGUGACUUGAUGGGGAAAAGAAAAGUAAUUUUCAAUCUCGGCAGUCAAUCUAAAAGGCUAUUGGUCAAAGACGAGGGAAAGUGUUCAUAAUUAGUUCCCAUUUGGCAAUUUGCUAAAGGCAGUUUCAUACUUUUGGAGUCUUGCAAUUCACGUUUGGUUUGGUCCUACAAACCCCUCAAUUUGACCAUCCUUUUCAGUCCAAAGUUUUGCUGGUUGUUAACCAUGGAUCAUAUCGUACACAAUACAACACAGGGUGAUAAAUGAUAAUUUGAUGACCCACCGGCUGUGGCCGAAUUGAACGAGUUUUAAGCACUGCGGAACUAGAUACAGGCCUGUAAACGCAAGUAUACAGCCCAAAAAGUGACAUUUGGGCCAGUAGCAAACCGUCUGGUGUUCCUGGUCCAGAAAAGUCCAGAGUCCACACAAUAGUAAGAUAUUUAUCCAGAGAAGAAAAACAAAGGAAAACGGAAAUACUUACCAUCGUCAAAUGACCCGUGUGUGUGCUGUGAAAAUAUUCCAAUUCCCCCGCCACGCAAACACUCUGAAGUCUUCUUCACCUUCUCCGUCGGUUUCCGAAACGCUCCGUUUCAUCAUCUCUCCUCCGUUGAUCCACAAUCCAGGAACAAGCUCCCUUUCCAUCUCCUUAAUGGCCCAUUCCAGGCCCAGGUUUUCUCUAUUUGAAGUUACUUUUUGGUUUUUUUUUCCCCUGAUUAAAGUUCCAUCCAAGCCUUCUUCUUCUUUUUCAUUUUUCUUUUUUCAUACCUGUUUACUUGGCUCAGGAUUUUAGAGCAAGCCGAGGCCGAUUGCGACGGUAAAAUUACGGAUAAUAUAGCAGGAGAGCGAAAGUACGCUGAAAUUGUUGUGAUACGUCAUGGUGAAACCGAAUGGAAUGCCGAUGGGAGAAUUCAGGUUUUUCUGACGGCAGUUACUAGCUCAAUUAAUUUUGUUUACGGAAUUUUGAUCCCAAAUUUAUGUUAUAGUAGAUAAACAAUUGCCCUAUCCCUAUCUAUCCUGUCAGGAUAAUCGUUACUCUUCCCGUGUAUAAUCUUCUAUGAAUUGGUAGAUUCUCUUCAAAAUUAGUGAUGUUGUUUAAUCUUCGUACAUAGGGGCACUUAGACGUUGAGUUAAACGACGUAGGAAGAGAGCAAGCUACCGCGGUAAUCCUUGACUUGUGCAAUACAGUUUAUGCAUUUUAUCAUGCACGUAGUUGGUGUGGUUUAAGGAUAAAAGUUCUGUUUGGUUUGUUAAAAGGUGGCUGAGCGAGUUUCCAAAGAGUUCAAAGUCUCUGCGGUUUACUCAUCUGACUUGAAGAGAGCAUUUGAGACUGCACAGAUUAUAGCAAGCAGCUGCGGGGGCCUUCAGGUAUCAAUUAGUUAUUAAUCUACUAGUUUGCCAUUCACCCAAUUCCUCUUGCUAAGUUGUGCUGGAUAUGCGAAUAAACUAGACUUUGGUAUCACUAUCUGAUUUUGAGCAUUGGAAGUGCUCACUGCUGAAUUCUGGUCAGCAAUUGGUUGGAAUCUAUCAUUUUCCUCGUUUUAAUGAAGGCUUCAGUUUAUGUUUCUUCUAUCUUGAUUGAGAAAGUAUGUACUCUGUGUUCCUUUUCUGCAUUAAAAUUUUUUGAAAUUGAUUGGAGAUGAUAUAAACACGCUGUGUGACUUUCUUUUCAUGUGUUUCCCAUGGAAAGUUCUCAUCUAGGAGGUCUUGCUAGCAUUUUUUAAAUGAAGUUGAAGUCUGCAUUGUUGUCAUUAUCGCAGUGAACAGAAGAAUGUCUACAUUUAGGAGUUACCAGCAAUCUAUAUAUAGGAGUUAACUGCCAUUUUAUUGGAGUUAUUAUUAAGAUACUUCUCUUUUAUUCCUGUAACAAAAUGCAAAUGUGUCUUAGCAUUUGCAUAAAGGCCUACCAGGCAUGGAGGUGGGAAAUGGUCUACAUGUUUUACAACAUAAAUUUUAAUGCCAAUGGUGGUCCUUAAAAUAUCGGUAUGUAGACCAUCAAUUGAGCAUCACAUUGCUUGUUUUGCAUUGUUGGGAUCAGGUUCUUGAAGACCCAGACCUGCGGGAAAGACAUCUCGGGGAUCUCCAAGGCCUAGUGGUUCGUGAAGCUGCCAAAAGCAGUUCGAAGGCUUAUAGAGCAUUUGUAUCUAAACGAAGGGAUGAAGAAAUUCCAGUGAGUUUUAUGUUUUAUAUCUGUUGCGGAUGACCAAUGCACCAUUAAAUUAAGUCUGUUUCUAUGGUUGUUAGAACUAUAUUUUCAUCAAAGUGCCUCAUAGACACCUUGGUCCCUAAUGAUUACCUAAGAAUUAACUGGGCUGAAGGAGAGGUAAUGGCAGAAAAGUUGGUUGGAUAACAUUUUGAUGACCUCAUUCUAUUUGGAAGCACCAUUUUGUCUCCCUGAUUGGAGACUUCAUUGACUGAUAAUGUUGCUUUUUAUCGAAUAUGCUCCUGACCCAGUAAGUACGGCCUAAAAUUCUACUUCAAAAGUAAGUGUAUUGCUUGAUAUCUUCACCAGCAAUGCUUGGGCUGAUUUUCUUUACUUGCUAAAAUGGUACCUUCCUGAAAAAAGGAGUAAUGUAUCUUUCAUUUUUAUUUGUUGAAUAAAAUAAGUUUUCAUCCUUUAAUUAGCUCUGUCUUGGAAGGAGAUGGAUGCCUCAUGAUUGUGAUGGUGCUAAUUUGCGGUCAAGCUUGUUAUUCAUUUGGUUACAUGUCAAAUUGUUAGGUUUAUAAUCCCGUGUUUUUGAUCGGCGCAGCUGAUGUUAAGCUACUAGACACUAGAUUUGCUGGUGCUUAUCUAUUCCCACUGGAAUACUGCUCGUGGGAUCCAAUAACCUUGUCUGAUACUGGAAGUCCUUCUAUAGUUGCAUGGUUGUAUAGUGUAAUUGAGUAAGGAUGCAUAGUUUCCUUGUAGGUGCCUUUGGCAUUUGCAGAGAAACCAAGCAGUUUUUUGGUUCAACCAAUUUUUUCUCGAGUAUCUUUUUCCCUUGACAUGGUAUACCCAAAAUUCACCCUGCAAUAACAAGAUCCCCCUUUUGUAUCAUUAAAAUGUCUGUAGUUUAUGUUUUUGUUUCUAGAAAAUGAAGAUUGACACAAAUACUUGUAAUAAAACAAGCAAGUUGCACAAAAUUGGUUUAAAUGGUCAGAUUGGACAAGCCUACCCGCUCCCCUACCUUCCAUGUAACACGACAAACACCAUAAACAGAGGGUAAUUGACUACUACUUGCCAUUGCAGGGUGGUGGAGAAAGUCUUGAUCAACUUUAUCAACGCUGCACAUCUUCGCUGCAAAGGAUUGCAAACAAGCACAUAGGUACUACAAGACUCAAAAUCACAAUGGUUCGUGGAAAAAUAUAGCAUGUGAUCCUAGUUUCAAUUGCAGGGGAGCGAGUAGUUGCGGUCACUCAUGGAGGAGUUAUCAGAGCACUUCAUAGACGGGCAUCUUCACAUGGGCGGUCUGCUGGGAAGAUUAUGAAUACAUGUGUCAAUGUAUUUCAGUUGUCUGAUGAGGAUGAGUGGUCCAUUAAAGUAUGGGGUGACGUGAGUCAUCUUAACCAGACUGGCAUUUUGGAGUCUGGUUUUGGUGGGGACAAAUCUUCUGGUUAGUCUUUACAUGUCUACUUGACAUCGACAAACCUGGAAUUUUGUAGGGGACAUGCCCCUUUCACCAUUAUAAAUCGCUGAAACAUUCGAAUUGGUUCAACAACUACGAUUAAUUAAUUAGAAUCUUCAUUAUAAUUUUGACAAUGUUGCGACAUGUGAUAUGUAUGUAUCAGCAUGGCCAUCAAUUGUCAUCCCGUUUUGUAAUUUUUAUUUAUCAACAAAGCCGGGACAUGCAAGGAUAAGUUGAUGUCGAAAACCAUUUAGGAAAUGGUGGAAGGUGAUUAGCCGUCAGAUCAGUUGCUGGGGUAAGAGGUUAUCUUACUUAGAUGAAGUUUUAACCGGUUUCUAACUCUACAAAAGUAUCAUGAUCACCCAAUAAGAAGGGUUUUAAUUUUUUUCAAAUGUGNNNNNNNNNNNNNNNNNNNNNNNNNNNNNNNNNNNNNNNNNNNNNNNNNNNNNNNNNNNNNNNNNNNNNNNNNNNNNNNNNNNNNNNNNNNNNNNNNNNNNNNNNNNNNNNNNNNNNNNNNNNNNNNNNNNNNNNNNNNNNNNNNNNNNNNNNNNNNNNNNNNNNNNNNNNNNNNNNNNNNNNNNNNNNNNNNNNNNNNNNNNNNNNNNNNNNNNNNNNNNNNNNNNNNNNNNNNNNNNNNNNNNNNNNNNNNNNNNNNNNNNNNNNNNNNNNNNNNNNNNNNNNNNNNNNNNNNNNNNNNNNNNNNNNNNNNNNNNNNNNNNNNNNNNNNNNNNNNNNNNNNNNNNNNNNNNNNNNNNNNNNNNNNNNNNNNNNNNNNNNNNNNNNNNNNNNNNNNNNNNNNNNNNNNNNNNNNNNNNNNNNNNNNNNNNNNNNNNNNNNNNNNNNNNNNNNNNNNNNNNNNNNNNNNNNNNNNNNNNNNNNNNNNNNNNNNNNNNNNNNNNNNNNNNNNNNNNNNNNNNNNNNNNNNNNNNNNNNNNNNNNNNNNNNNNNNNNNNNNNNNNNNNNNNNNNNNNNNNNNNNNNNNNNNNNNNNNNNNNNNNNNNNNNNNNNNNNNNNNNNNNNNNNNNNNNNNNNNNNNNNNNNNNNNNNNNNNNNNNNNNNNNNNNNNNNNNNNNNNNNNNNNNNNNNNNNNNNNNNNNNNNNNNNNNNNNNNNNNNNNNNNNNNNNNNNNNNNNNNNNNNNNNNNNNNNNNNNNNNNNNNNNNNNNNNNNNNNNNNNNNNNNNNNNNNNNNNNNNNNNNNNNNNNNNNNNNNNNNNNNNNNNNNNNNNNNNNNNNNNNNNNNNNNNNNNNNNNNNNNNNNNNNNNNNNNNNNNNNNNNNNNNNNNNNNNNNNNNNNNNNNNNNNNNNNNNNNNNNNNNNNNNNNNNNNNNNNNNNNNNNNNNNNNNNNNNNNNNNNNNNNNNNNNNNNNNNNNNNNNNNNNNNNNNNNNNNNNNNAAACUAUGUACUGAUGGGGAAUAUUUAUGCUGCUCUUGGAAGGUGGAAAGAUGCAGAGAAUGUGAGACAUAGGAUGAAUGAAGUAGGGUUACUCAAAUCGCCAGCUCACAGUGUAAUUGAGGUAAGGAAACCUGUGUAGUGUCAUUUGCUGUUAGAUGCUUGGCUUAAAAAAGUUGCAAGGCUGCCACAUCUUCAAUGUUUGAUGUGCCAACUGUUGAUUUCAAAUUCUUGGCACAUUGAAUGAAUAUAACAUUAGAUGAUGAAGCAUUUGUUGUUCUAUGAGAGAUUACAUCGUUUUUCUUCGAGGCGUACGCAAAGGUAUUACUAUAUACUAGCUAGUCAUGCUGUUGUGCUUUGCUGAUGAAUGAAAUUAAUCCACCUUAAGCAGUCUAAUAAGGACCAUUUCCCUGGUGAGCUUGUGCGAAAUUAUUUCCAAGAUGUUUGGCAUUUUACAAGGCAAGCCAGAUACCCUGACAAACUGGUUCCUUAUUUGAUUUAAAUGAGAGAGAUUUUGGGACAGUUAUAGUCGUUAAGUUGGUCUUUUCAGGGCUGGCUUAUUUAGAAAGAUUGAAAGAGAUGUACGUUGUCUACUUGACACCAAAGUUUACCGCAAAAAUGGGUGCUAGACAAGCCAUUGACUAAUUUUUUCUCAGUCCGGAAAAAUUGUGGCUGUGUUUGGUUCGAUUGUUUUUGGCAAAAACUGUGGCUGUAGUCAAAAUACAAUUUCAGUCAACCAACUUUUUUUUAAAUGCUACAGUCCCGGUCCUGGUACACGGCGCCGUUUAGGAGCCAAAAUGACAAAACAAGUUUUGAGGUGUAUUGUCCUUUCGUUCCUCCUCGUUAUUUUCUGAGUUAAACUGUAUCGAGCAACUACGAGGCUCCUCUUCACUUUCCUCUUCUAAGCAGCAUCAACAGUAGAGCAGACACUUGAAUGUUCAAAUCACCGGUUCUACCCCAGCUGAUCUGCUUGUAAUGCUGCUGUCAUCGUCGCCGCAAGUGAACAGUUAGCUGGUCCCUCCACAAUUUGCAACUUAUCUGCAGCAUAACAUCGGGAGAAGGAAGCUGAACCUCCGCUGCACCUCGGACAGGGGAGGUAGUGGAAUUGCCCAGAAAAUCAUUCGAAGCUGCUUGCUGGAGAGCUUUCUUCCCUUAUUUCCAAGUCGCGGCCAAGGAGUCUCACCGCCGUUGCUCAUCUGUUGCUUCGUCGAGGUGAGUUUGUACUGUUGAGCUAAUUGGGGCCUUAAUUCGUACGAAUUAGGGCUACAGUAAUUAAUGAAUGUGGUUGCUGUUUAAUCCUAUUCUCUGAAAAAUCAGCGGGCGAUAGUAUAUGGUAGAGACAGAGGAUCAAUUAAGAAAAUGUGGAUUUGCCUUGUUUGGACUGACAUUCAUGCUUCUUCACUUAACUUCUUUAUAUUGUGCGGCAUUCCAUUUUUCAUUAUUGGCUUGUUUUGGUUCGCCAUCUCAUCUUAGCAACUCACAAUUGGAGCUUCACCGUUAUCUUGCCUUCGUGAUAAUUCCCGCAUGUGUCCAGAGUAUGCUAAAUUAAUUGUUAGCAAGAGGGAAAUGGUACACAGUGGCACCAUAUUAGCUGAUAAACGUGCUUGGCUGCUUUAAAUUGUUCGGCAUGCAUAGGAGAGUUUUUUUUAAUAAGCUCAUGGUAUACGUGUACCCUGUUAAUGGGAAGAAUAUUGAUACUAUGAAGUGGAUUAGAUGUUUGAUCGAUUGCUGUUGUUGUCGGCUGAAAUUGAUCAGUUUUUCUGCCACAUGAAUCUGUAGGUGGGGUGUUGUAUCUACAUUUACAUUUCGGAUAAGGAAUUUGAUUAAUUGGUUGUACUUAUUAAGCACCAGUGCUAUUUUCCUUGGACUAUUGCAAUUCGAUUACUGAAAUAUUCGUCCCUAGCGUCAUGUGACUGGCAUGCAUUUAUUUGGUCGUUGCUGUUGGGUUUGAUCUUAUUGGAUGUUCUUGUGAUCGGACUUGAGGCAAUGCCAUUCUGGUACCUGCAAUUUUAUUAGUUGGCACGUGGUAUAUUUUAAUUUGUCCUACCGUGAUUGUUUAUAAUUUAUGCAUUGAAGCUGCUGUUGCGUUUUUCAAUGAAUGACAACCUGUAGAGAGGGGUAUAUUUUUCUGCUUUAAGUGUGAUGCUGUUUUGGUCCUAUGUAUAUGAUUCGUUGCAUAUUAUAAUCUGAUAUGAACUUCGCUAAAUGGGUUGAACUGUUAUUUUAGCUUCACACAUAAAAUUGGAUGAUAGUUCAUAUACAGUUUAUGCGUUUGGCCUGCUAAUAGCAUUUUAGUGGUACCUUGUACAUAUUUUUAGGAUUGUGAUGCCCCCUGUGACUCGGAGUGCUUCGAAGGGUAAGGCCCAACUAUUGUGACAAUUAAUUAUUAAAAAUUCUGAUCAGAAACAGCUGUAGUGCUCGGCUUUUAACAUCCUUAUUUACAGCUUUGCAAACGACUAGGGGUGCUAACCGUUGUUCUUUAUAUUCGGGUACGGGAGAAAACGAUUUGCGUCUUUGUAUAACAAACUACUUCAAGGUGAGUUAUAACUGACUAGGUGAAAAAUUUCUGUAGAUGCUGUCCCAAUAUUGGCUUAGAUUGUAUCUAAUUUCCCGUUUACGGCGACCCUAAGCCUGUUUUCUGGUUUUGACUUUCCUAAAGAAAACAAAGAUGCCCAAACCAAAAGCUCCUAAGGAACGUAUCAAUUUCACGCCGAAGAUGGAAACUGCCAUUGCUGAACAGCUUCUGAACAUGCAUAGGAAUGGGGAAAUAUCAUCACAGACCAUCGGGAGCCACGUUGUCCCUCAGAUUACUAGGAUGCUCGCUGAGACUUUCGGGGUUUCAUUCCCCCGCGAUACUAUUCGGUCGAAGUACUAUGCGCUUCAGAACUUAACUAGGCUUUACAUUUCGUUCAAGAAGCGUGGCACUGGUAUGGGCUGGGACUCAACCAACUUCACCUUCAUGAUGGAUGAUGAGCGAUGGAGUCAUCUACUUCAGGUAUAAUACUUAGUCCUAUCCUUUAGCUUAUACGCUGUUAUCGUUAUAUAUUUUGUUUUAUAAGCUUGGUUUAUAGAAUUUUGGUAGGUUUUUUUACCAUUAUUAGUUGUAUGUAUUGUUCAGCUGUGGAAUUUGUAUUGUUUAUUUGUAAAAGUUGUUUGUUCCUAACAGCUGUUGUGUUAAAUUGUUAAUUGGGCUUUUGCUUAUUUUUAAAACCUGUUUUCUUCUUUUGUAGGUCAACCAGGGAUACAAUAGAUUUAGGAACCGGUGUUGUCUGGUCUUCCAUUUGCUUGAAGAAGUCUUCAUGAAUCAGGGGGCUACUGGGGAUUUUAGCGCCGGCUUUGGAGUAUCGCCCCUGAAUUCGGGCGAUGAAUUGGAAAUGGAACACGCUGCGAACAGAGGUAGGGGCAAGGGGGUUGUGGAUGUCGAUUCAUCAGAUGGAGGAGAUGCCGUUCCUGUGACUCGGAAAGGGAAAGAGAAGGUUAAGAAGGGCAAAGGAAAGCGCAAAUCGGGGGACAUGUCAACUGAGUCAUUCUUCCAACCGUCCUCCCCCCAAUUCCAGAAAUACGUUCGGGUUUUAGACAGCAUCGAGACACGAUUGAGCGGUAAAGGGAGCUCUGGGAUCUCCGGUUCGGUCUCUUCUCCUGCUAAGAGCCAAAAGGCUCCAGUUGAUGAAGACGAGGAGCUGGUGGCUGCUUUGGCCACUUUGAGCAGUCUGAAUUUGGACCGAAGUGUGCGCUUCCAGAUGGCUGAUCUGCUAAGGAAUCGGCAUGAGCGUCUCAUUUGGUUCUUAUGCGCGGACGACGAGGACCGCCUUGCCUUUGUCAGACAUCGAGGCUUCCUCCCCCCCCCUUAGCAUCUCGUUCAAUCCAGCCCGAAACUAUUGCAGCAGCCUUCGUCUUAGUUUUUCCCAUGGCUUAAAUGGAUUUGAUCUAUUCGUUUGGAUUUAUGUACUUGGAGUUGACAUUGGCCUGUGUUAUUCAUUUCUUUACUGUACCGUGGACCCAAUUCAGUUUUUUUUUUUUUUCUUCUGAGAUAAAGUUGAGGUUACAAAAAUUUCGGAUAAUUUAUUUGGUUGCGUUUAUAAAUGUUGGUUGAAUUGUUUACUAUAUAUUAUUUGUUGGGAAUGGUGCAAGGAUUUUCAUUUUGUGUGACAGGAGUUGCCGCUACAUUUUUUCCAUUAUGCCGAUGGUCAUCUUUGUUUGUAUAUUUUUUAACAUUUGGAGCUGGUUCAGGUUAUUUCUGAAUACCAUCUGCAUGUUCAGGGACCAUCGUGUGUUAAAUAAUUUGAGUGUGCUUCUCAAUAUUGGUUGCAGUAGUGCUUCUCAGUAUUGGUUGUUAGGAAAUAGUGCAAUGCCGUAUAUAUUGGGGAGCCAUGUUCCUAAAUUAAUUUUAUUGGCAUCAUUUAAUAUGUAUUCUUUGGAUUUUUGUGUUCUCACAUUCACACCGGGGCCUGUUAUCAUUUUAUCCUUGUGCCAUUCAGGGAAUGUUUACAUAAUUUACUUGUGCUGGGGAUAGCAAUAUUGGCUGAUGUUCACUAAAUAUCAAUUGUGGCCCCGUAAAAGUGCAAUGGCUAAUAUUUUGUGUACUCAUAGUUGCCAUAUAAAUUUUUUGGUUUUCGAGUUUUCUAGUAUUAAUUACUCACAGUUAUUUUCUCAGAUAGCUAGGUUAAUGUCUGCUAAUUUAAACUCCUUAUAAUAUUUGAACUUGUUUGCUACACACUAUACAAUAUUUACUUAUUCAACUCGUGAGUCUUUAUAUGAAAUGGUUGAACUUGUUUAAUUAUUUCACCUGUGUACAAGGAUAGUUGACAUUUUUUUUUCCAUUAUAUUAUUGGCAUUCCCCAAAUGUGCCUGUGAGUGUUUAUAAUUAUUAAGUGAACUUAUAUACUUGGAUAAACUUGUUACGAGAUUUACUUAUUGCACUUUUGACACUUUGUAAUAAAUGGUUGAACUUGUUUAAUUAUUUCACUUGUUUAAUCUAUGAUUAAGAAUAUUUCAGGUUAUUUUAGGCAUAGGGUCCUCAAUAUUUUUUUCUUCAUAUUGAGGAUAUUGCUAUUAAUUUAUUUGCGAGUGUUUAUAAUAAUGGGUUGAACUUAUUUAGUAGAAUUUGUUGGGGAUUUCACCAAUUGACUGAAUUGGUUUACAUGGAUAUCAACCUUUAAAUGAGGUUGUGAGUUAACAUACGAGGAAUUAUGUGCUUAUUUCCUCUUUUAGUAUUCAUAGUUACACCGUUUUUGCAUUAUACAAUUGGAUAUCAACCUAAUGUUUUCGUGUUAUUACACAUAUAUAAUGCUUGGAUGUUUGUUUAUUUAUAAUUAUUUCAUGGAAUUUGUAUCAAUUGAGGUUAUUAAAUAAUUGAUAAUAUUUCACUUGUACUACUAGAAUAGGGUUUAAUGUUCUUCAAUCACUUGGCCAAUUUCAGAGUUCAAAGUUGUUGCUGUGCGAAGAUGGACAACGAUGGGCACAUUCAAGGAGGUCAACUGGAUGACGAGCUAGAUGACGAGGAGCUCGACAACAUCCUUAUGUACGUCGUAUUAUUGGGUUUCAUGUUCUUUUUCCAGGAUACACAUCAGCAGGUCCCAAGAAGACGAAGAGUACGAGAUAGCGCGCUGUCAGGGAGAGAUUAUGUGCUUGAGAUUAUUAACGGACAUGAAGACCGAAUUAUUCAGAAUAUGCGCUUGGAUGUUCCUCAAUUCCUUUUGUUGUGCGAUUUAUUGCUUAAUCGGGGUUACUGGCAUGUAUAUCCUUCUCAAAGAGUGGGGGUACAUGAAUCCGUUGCUUUAACCCUAAUGUGCCUGAGCCAUGAUGAGCGGCACCGGGUGUUAGCCGAGCGGUUCCAGCACUCAACGGAGACGAUUGAUCGACACGUUCGUCGUGUAUUACGAGCUUUGGUUCGGCUAGGUCGUGAUCUCGUUAGGCCAAGAAACGUCGAUGACACGCAUCCUCGGAUCUUGAACAAUGGUUUGCUCAUGCCGUGGUUCCGAGUAUGUAUCUCAUUUUUAGUUGGACAUGCACUUUCAUGUAGGUUUCUGCGAGCAUGUGAAACUUAUAGCCAAACUUAUUUCACUUAUAUAGGAUUGUGUGGGAGCUUUAGAUGGGACCCAUGUAUCCGCUUGGUGCAGAGCAGAGGUAAGAGAGAGGUUCAGAAAUCGGCAUGGCGACUUAUCCCAGAAUAUACUUGCUGCCUGCGAUCAUGAUAUGCGGUUUGUCUUUGUUCGGGUCGGCUGGGAGGGUAGUGCUCAUGAUGCCAGAAUUCUCCAAGAGACCUUGCUUGAUCCGGGCUCAGGAUUUCCAAUGCCACCGCAAGGUAAUUUAAUUGAAAUGCCUUUUUAGAAUAUAUCUGGUAACGAAUUACUUUUAUAAUACAAGGCAGUAGGAAACAGUCUCUUUUGUAUUUGACAGAUUAUUUACAGCAUUUGUUUCCGUAAUAAAUGAGUAGGGGCUAUAACAUGAAACCUAUGUCAUUAAAUCAACAGGAAAAUAUUAUGCAGUAGAUGCUGCCUACAGAAAUAUGCCGGGGUUUAUGGCUCCGUUUAGGGGUGCACGGGGCACACCUCAUGAGCGAGCAGCUAAAGCGCUGUUCAAUAGGCGACAUGCAUCAGUUAGGAAUAUUAUUGAGCGUACAUUUGGAGUUCUUAAGAAGCGAUUUCCAAUACUCAAAGGUCCAAUGCAGAACUACCUGAUAGCAACGCAAAAUAAUAUUGUGCUUGCAUGUUGUGCUCUUCACAAUUUUAUGCGCGAUUAUGUGCCGAAUGAUGAGUACUUCAAUGAAGAAGCGAUAAAUGGUGCCUUUGCAGAUGCACACAUAGCAGGGGAACAAGUGCAGAUGGGUCAACCUAUCGAUAUGUCGCAGCAGGGCAUAGAUAACUGGAAUGAAGGUCGGCGGGCAAUGGCGGCGCACAUGUAUGUGAAUGCUAAUAACUAGACUCUAGUGCUUGGCCUAGGACCAAAAGUGUGUUAAAUCAGCUUCCGAUUUGUACUUAAAUGUUUAACUCACGUUCCUGGUGAAUGAGGGAUUACUUUUAAUUUGGCUCCAGUUAAUUGUGUUAUUGCUUGUCCAGGGAUUUGCACCUUUGUAUUAUAUUUGCGGACUCAUACUUUGCUCUACAACCUCAGUAAGUAUUCAGUUUGCCGGUUUAGUUCAGGGGAGUUUGUGAAUGGUGACGUACGAAUAAGUCAUGACCGAGUUAAGUUCUAGGCACAUUUUUUACAGUGCAAAAUUUGGUUGAAACUUUGCCAACUACUUUAGGAAAUUGCAGGAGGGGACAUAAUUUAAUGGCCAUUAUUUUGCAAAGAUAGCGAACGUAUUGGCCAAUUACACAUUUGGACCCUUAGAUCCCCUGUUUUGGGGGUGUUACACAUAAACUAGUUUUUGAAAUACAAUAAAAAUUUUUAAAAAGUUGAACUUGUAAAAGGUAAUCAAAAAAUUAAUUUUAUUUUUUUUAAAAAAUUUUCAAGCAUGUAUCUCAAAAUAUUUUCUAAAAACUUUUCUAUUCUUAAAUAUUUCAAAAUAUUUUCCAACACCCAAUCCAAAAUAUGCUCUAAAAACUCUGCUACAGUAAAGUUUUAUUUUAAAAAAUUCCCACAGAAACAGCUAAUCCAAACGAAGCUGUUUUUCAAAAACAGCUCAAUCCAAACGCAUGUGUUUUUCAAAAAAUAAGAGUUUUUCAAAAACAACAAUCCAAACGACAAUGCGUGUUUUUUAAAAACUGCUACAGUAUUGUUUUUCAAAAACACCCCCAAAAACAGGGAAUCCAAACGCAGCCUGUGUGUCAUUGGGAAAGACGCGAGGACUUAAUAGUUUGUGUAUUUUUAUCAGAACACCUGCAUGUGGGAGAAAGGAUUGGUUAAUUGUAGUUCUCCAAUUGAUGUGUAGAACAUGCAAGGAAAUUACUAAGGGGAAAAGUGGAGUUGCUUGAAGCCAGCAGCAAGAGAGAACAACCGUGUAUGCAGAGUCUUUGACACAUCGUUGGAAAACGUGGAAUCCAAAAUCUUUAUCUCAAAAGUACAUAAACCUAGAAGUGCCCUCUAGCAGAAUUUGUUUGGAUUGCGGUUUAUUUGUCAAAAUAUAUUUGCUUACAUCAUCAUUACAAUUUCCAACGCACCUUUUUAUCUCACAUACAUCACAUCAUAAAAAGUGCUACAGUAAAAAUAUCUCUAAUAAUUCACAAUCCAAACAAAAUGUUUCUCAAGCAGAGAGAAUCAAAUUUGGAUGGUUAACAGCAGCGAUGAAAAGGAUGAUUACUGAAUCUGAAGUUUGGAUGAUUACUGAAUCUGAAGUUUUUAACAAAUUCUCUCGUAUGAUAACAUGUGCCAAUUGUUUCUGUAACAUUCUCCGGAGAUCCACAAACAGAUCAUCAAUUCAUCAGACUUUGAACUAGCCUCCUUCAACAAGUAUUUCCAAUGCUUCUGCUACUGGCCUAUUCAAAACAUGCCAUGUGCCAUGGAUUAAGUUGAUUGAAUAGAUAAAAUGUAAACUACGCUAUUGGACGGUUCCCCAUAUUGCUGUGCAUAUACGUGCGUGUGAGGAGUGAACGAGCCACAAACAACCAGUUACGAAAGAAAGGAAUUACUAAUAUAUGCAAGUAGUGGAGAAAGGUCGCUCCAAAUAAAACGUACGAACCCCCAUGGCCCUUUAUCGCAGCUUAGGUCAACUGAAGCCCGGAAUGCACUUGCAACAUGGUCUUUUAUCCUUCGAUGCCCUUGUGGAUUUUAUAUCAUUAACAUUAAUGAUGACUUAUUAUCAAUUUAUAGAAGGGUUAUUAUCACUUUACCCUCUUAACGUUUGGCGUCAUUAUUAAUUACUCUCUUAACUUUAUUUUUUAGUGAUUUUAUCCCAAAGCUAAUGGUCAAACUUAACGUAGUUUAUUAAUUCAAGUAAUAAGACAUGUUUAAUCUUUAAAAUUAUUAUCAUUUUAUUCUCAUAAACUAUAACCUUAUUAUCAAUUUAUCCCAUAGAGUUAUUUUUUAGACAAUUCAUCCCACCAUUAAACUAACUUAACAAGUUAAAAAACUUUAGAAUAUGCUACACUCUUUUUUGUAUAAUAAAAAUAAUAAAAAAAUUUAGAGUGGCUCUUCUCUUAUUUAGUAUCAAGAAAAAAAGUAAAAACAUUAAUCUCUUUCUUCUUGACAAUCUUAUUAAUAUUGAAAAAAUAGAAAAAUAUGGGAGUGAGAUAGAGAGAGCUCAAUUCUUUUUUUUUAAUACAAACAAGAAAGAAUUCAAUAUUUUUAUUAUUUUAAAAUUAUUUUACUUUUCUGUUUAUUACUCAAUUCCAAUCCUAAUCUCGAGGACAUUAAAGUAAUAUGAUAAUAUUAAAUUCUUUCUUAUUUUCUUUUUUGGCAAAAUCUAAUUUUCUGUCUCCUUUUCUUUUCCAAUUGUUAAUAAGUGUGAAAAAUAUUUGAGAAAACCCUUUUAUUUUAUGUUUUUUAAAUCUUAGAGUGAAAAAAAGGAUGAAUAAUUAUUCCAACUUUUUAUUUUAAAUUAUAUAUAAAAAGGUAAAUUCAUUUAAACAUUUAUGAACAUACUUUUUAAAUUAACAAUAGGGUAAAAUAUUUAGAGAGUAAAGUGAUUAUAUUACUAUAAUUUAAAGGAAUAAAGUGAUAAUGACAAUGUAAUAAUACUAUAAAAUAAAAGGGUAUUUUUGUCAAAUUUUUAUUAACAUGCUGAGUUGAAUUAUCUAUGGGAUGAAGUGACUAAAAGAUACUAUUAGGAGGUAAAUUGAUAAUUGUAAUAUAUAGUUUAACGGGAUAAAGUGAUAAUAACCUUUAUAGAACGCAAGGAUUUAUGAUCUCUUUUGGCUAACGACAAUUCUAUCCGUUUUCGCUUCUUGAAACAAGUAGUCAGAGUUUGAGAUUUGGCGGUUGGGGAGCUUAUCCUCCACCCUGGGCUGCGUGGAGGACCACUGAAAAUUAGAUUGUCUUAAAAAAUUUCUGGACAAAAAAUCCUCAAACAAUCAUGUGGUGUAAUAUUAUUAUCGUUAGGAAAAAAAAAAUCAUGUGGUGUAAUAAAACGCAUGUAUUUGGAUUGAGAAUUAUUUGAAUGUUUUUUGUAUUAUUCACUUUUCGGGAUGGUGUAUACGUUGGACUAAAAAAAAAAAAAGAUGAAGGAAAAAAUUUCAAGCCAUGGAUCAUAAAUUUGGGAACCAUUAUGCAAGGCAAGCUAUAUUCGCUAGAGUAAUUAUCGUUUUGCCAGAGCAAAUUUUAUUCAAAUGCCAAGAUUACCUGCAAUCAAUCGGCUCUAUAUAUGUUUAUUGAUUUUUCCAAGAUCAACUGUACACUAAUUACUCUUUUUUCUUAUUUUUUGUUAUAGUCUGUCACUCUCCCCCCCUAUUAUUCUUGCUCUCUCUCUCUCUCUCUCACACACACACAUUAAUUGAUCAACUUUGUUUUUGCUUUAAUCUUUUUUUAUAGUACUAACUUUUUCUUUGCUUCAAGGAGCUAUUUUUUUUUAUUCAAUUAUGAAACUUUUAUUUAAUUUUUUUAAAAUAUAACUUGAUUUAAUUCCAACAAAAUUUGAUUUUAAAUUAUUUCUUUUAUGAUGUCAUUGUAACUUAAUUCUUUAGUAUAUUUAAAAUUUUAUUGACAUGAAACAUGCAUUUUUUCUUUUGAAUUCUACUUGAUUAUCAUGCCUUUGAGGAGCUAAUAUUAUUCAAAGUUUUAUCAUCUUUUCCUCUUUCAUACUAGUCAUGUAGGUGUUAUUCAUGUUUGUUAUGUAAACCUUGAUUACUAUCAAAUAUUCAUUUUCUCUAAUAAUUAGAUGAAAGUAAAUUUAUAUUACAUUAUCUUGUAUAUUCCAUGAAUAUUGAAGGAAAAGCAAGCCUAUUUUUUGAAUUUAUUUUGAUUUUUGAACAAUUGCUUAUUUGGGUUUAAAAAAUGCCGUGUUUGUAAAAAUAAAAAAAAAAAUCUUCCUAGUAAAAAUUUAGGAAUAGAAAAUAUAUAAGAGCAUGUUGAAGCAAAAGAAUUAGAAUAGGAGAAAAUUUUAAAGUUAGAUCCAAGUUAUUAAAUGAGGAAAAUAAUUGAUGAAUUAAUGAAAGACAGAGUGAUAGAGAAGAACAAAAGUAAGAGAGUAAGAAUAGAGGAGAAUAUGCAGAGUUAAUUGAUUGAGCGUAAUAUUGCCAUUUAAAUAAAAUUUGCUUUGUUGAGAAGAUUAUUGCUCUUCCAGUAUCACCGGCCAUAAUAUAAUGAAGGAUUAUUGUAGUGGUUUACCUAUUUAGCACACCUGAAUUAGAUUAAUUAAUCUUAUCGAUCUAUAAAUACAUACAAUUAUAAGUAUUUUAUUUCUUGCAUUUAAAUACUUCUCUAAAUUAACUAUACUUAAAAAAAAAAAAUCGUGAUACCCUUUUAACAGGUACCCGUUAGCCAUACCAUAUAUAAUGAAAACAAAUAACGCUAGUAAUUUUAUUUGCCGAUUGCCGACACAAAUAGCUGAACUUGGGUUGGUUGGGUAUGACUUGCUGGUUUGCUUCUCCGCUGAUUACUUGAGUUCUUUAAUUUAAUUUUUUUUUUCCUUGUUUGUUUCUUUCGGCAGGCGAGUCUUCCAGAAAUGGACACCUAAGAGGUGAUGAUCUCGUGCAGACGAUUUGGCGACUGCGUAUCAUAUCCUUUUUUUUGAGUAUUAUAAAUGAAUGACGCAUUUUCUCCCAAAGAUCGUCCAAUCAAAUAGUGCAAUUUGCUAUUGAUUUGAAAUAUGAUCUUUCUUGGAAAGCAAUCCAACCCCCCCCCCCCCCCCGGCGGCGGUACUUGUAAGAAAAAAAAAAUAGAUUCAAACUAACAGAGAAAACAAUACAAUGGUUAUCUAAAUUAAUAAAAAUAUUCAUCCCUACAACUCUAAAAAAUCACCAACAAAAUAGAAAAUUUAAAAAUAAUAGAUAAUUAAAAUAUAAAAUAUUCCAAACAUUUGUUUUCGUCUUCUCUACUGCUUGAAAACUACUAAUCCAUUUUUUUUUAUUAAUGAUGACAGGUUACAUCACAACCAAAUAUGCAAGGUCUAAAAAACAAAAACAAAAUAAGUAGGGUGCUGAAGUGGAUAAAAUUUGUGAAAUAGGAAAAGAAUUUUUGAAGAAAGACAACAAAAUAAAUUAGUAGAGUAAAUGAAAUAGUUGCAACAAAUAUAGGAAAUGGAAAAAAUAAAUGGAAUAUAGGGCUAAAUAUAUAAGGCCUUGUUUGGAUUGCCGGUUUCCGUCGAAAAAUUAUGUCGUUUUCUGUGAUCACAUUUCCCUAUUAUCUUUUUCCCUCACAUACAUCAAAUCGCUACAUGCUUGGAUUGCUUGUUUCCGUCGGAAAAUAUUAUCGUUUUCCGUGAUCACAUUUCCCUAUUACCUUUUUCCCUCACAUAUAUCAAAUCGCUACAGUAAUUUUUUCAUGAAAAAUGACGGAAAAUGCAAUCCAAACACAACCAUGAAAAAUCACGAAAAAUGCAAUCUAAACACAACCUAAGUUUAUAAGUUGAGAAAAAUAAAAUGUAUAAUGACAUGGGUUUCGUACUCUAACCUAAAAUUUAAGUGCAUUAUAUAUAUAUAUAUAUGAAUCCAAUUUGAAUAAUAAUAAUGUAUUGAAUCCAAUUUCCAUUCUUCUCAUCCCUCCAAAUUUAUCUCUCCUUGCCAUUCUCAACCUUCACUCCUAGUAUCACGGUCAAAAGUCAAAAUUACCAACCCAAAAGGCCAAACUUUCCCUCCCAAUCUAAUGUUUGGGAAUCGGGCAACACGGUGUUGACCGUACCAAUUAGCAAGUACUUGUACUAGUAAGUUUACUAUCUCUGAUUUUUUUCAAAGAAAUAUGUUUAUCUCAAGAUUCUUUCCUUUUAGAAAUAAAAAAUUUUAAAAGAUUUCCUUUUAGAAACAUAAAAAAGGAAACAAUCAACUAAUCAGAUCAAAGUGACAAUACAGCGGAAGAAAAAUAAAAAAAGGAAAAAAAAGGAAAAAGGGGCAAUUACACAAUUCUAAUUUCUCUCUCUACAUUCACUCUUCCGAUCCAGGGGAAGAGAGAAAGAAAGCAAUCAUUUCCAUAAAUCCAUCAAUUAAUAGGAAAUUUGAAAAGAUUCUUUAAAGAUAUUCAUUGAAUUUCAUUAAAUUUCUCCCGAAUCUUGUAUAUUUGAUUGAUUCGUUUUUAAUUAGGCAAAGGAAAGUUAUUAAUUAUUAGAGGAGGAAGAUAGACAGCCCUAGAUGGUGUAUUAAAUUAGCAAUUAGGGUUUGAAAGGCGGGAUAGAUUUUGGAAACUCAAUGCAGCGGGAAAGUGCAAUCCGCAUCGGAUUGAGCGAGCGAGAAAUCGGGAUCGUCGGAUUCUAGCGGUGUAGGAAUCCGAUUGGAAUGUGGGGAGCUUUUGAUACUGUUUAUGCGGAAAAAUUGUUAGGCAUUAGGAAGAAGGAUCGAGAUACAGCUGGUGGCGGUGGUGGUGCGGCUUCGGCGUUGGAGGUAGAGGGAAUAGGAAAGGGUUAUUUGGUUGUAGAAAGAGGAGAGGAGGUUGUGUUGGAGGAGGAGGUGGCGGAGGGGCUCCGGGGAGGAAGAUGCAGCUGCACUUCUCACCUAGCAUGAGAAGUAUAACGAUAUCGAGCAGCAGCAACGGCACUGCGAAUGGAGGAUUUGGUAGUGGUGGGGGUGAUUUGAUGAAGAUCAAGCUUGCAGCUCGCCACAUCUCCUACCGCACCCUCUUUCACACCAUCCUCAUCUUAGCGUUUUUAUUGCCCUUUGUCUUCAUUUUAACUGCCCUUAUUACCCUUGAAGGUGUCAACAAGUGCUCCACAAUCGGUACUAAUUUUCUCUCCAAUUCUUUUUUGGCAUCCUAUUUCUUAAUCAAUGCCUAUUGUUUCCUUCUAUUGAUCGUGAUUGGUAUUUCUAACCGCACUACUUGGAUCAGGGAUUUACUUCUGUUUGCUAUGGUGGAUUCUUUAAUUUUGUUUCUUUUUGGCGUAUUAUUUGUUUGUUAGAUUUUGUUAUGAUAUGUUCUGCUUUAUGAUGACAUUAUAGCGCCACAGUUCGUUUUGAAUUAUUAGUUCCAAAUUUGGAUUGCUGACAUAUGCCUUAGAGUUGCCUGCAUGGUUAGAAAAUUGUAUCAAUUUAGCUGCAGGAGGGAUUGCAUCUCUUGUUUAAAUCCUCCAAGCAUCAUGGCAAGGUGAUUGUGCAUGGGCUUGGCGAUGUUCUUAUUACCAAAUUUUCGCUUUAACAAAAGAUUCUGUAUUUUUUGGAUAAAUUUGAGUCUUGCUGAUUUGGAGAUUCUGUAGAGUUUGUCUCCAUAUUGUGUAGUAGUCAGUAUACAAGUGCACUGGUCGGUGUAUUGUCAACCAUUUGAAUGACAUUUUCCCGUCUUGUGCAUGACUAAUUUAACUUUUAUUCUCAAAUAAGCUAUAACUAACUUAUUAUCCAAUGAAGCUAAAAUUUGUCCGAGGAUAUUAUUGCAAGUUUUGCUACAUCAUCUUCUUCUUUUCUGUUUUAUAUAUCUGGAGUGUCGCAUCCUGACUUCUUUGCACACUUUCCAUGCUUUUGUUUCUUCACCUGCUUAGCGUCUCAAAUUCUCUCUCCUCUUGUAAAAGUUCUGUUCUUUUCUAGUCUUAUGCUGUAACUACUGCUGGAUGGGUUGCAAGGGUACCAGUUUGGUUCUUUUUAUAUGUUCCCACAGUCAAGCUUUUCAAUUUUAUUUUAGUAAGAUGAGCUUCAUUACAAAUUUGAAGGAAGGAACUUGUAAUGAGCAAAAUUGUGGAUCAAUUUCUCUGAAGCUUCAUUACAAAAUUGAAGGAAGGAACUUGUAAUGAGCAAAGUUGUGGAUCAAUUUCUCUGAGUGUUCUGUUGUGUAUAUGAUUGCAUUUGUAAUUGUUUUCUUUGGCCGUUCCUUUUUUCUCUUUUUACUUAAUGUGUUAGGGCAAUUCCACUAUGUCAACUCCCGUCUUUUGGUAUUGCAAAUGUACAUGAUGGAUUGAGGAGUCAUGUUAAUCUUUUUGUUUUAAUUUCAUUGUCAGAUUGUCUUGGCAGGCGGCUAGGGCCAAAGGUUUUUGGCAGAGCUGAUGAUUCUGGGGUAAACAAUAUCUUUCAGUUUGUUGCAUAGCUUCUAUUGCAGCAAUAAAUGUGAUUGCAAGUAAUUGUUGUUCAACUAUCCAUUUAUUUCUUCAUUAGCUUUGACUUUGUUAUUAUUUCUGGGUGAGCAGAGGCUGGUAAAGGAAUUUGUUAAGAUUCUCAACCAAGUAAAUACUGAAGAAGUCCCAGAACGUCUGAAGCUUCCCGAUUCCUUCCGCCAACUUGUUUCUGAAACAAAAAAUAACAAAUAUACAGCAAAAGAGUUUGCUUUGAUCUUGAAGGGAAUGGUAUGCAUCCUUCUUUACUUUUAGCCCUCUACACAUAUGCUUUUUGGUCAAUUGCGCUCAUAGUGUAUAUGGAAUUCCUCAUCCAAUAGAUGUUCCAAUGUUCCGUACAAUUGUUUAAAUAUAGGUGGUUAUCUAUUUGAAAAUUAUAUGUGCUUUUCUGUGCUACUUGAAUGGUGUUUUGUGUUUUUGCAAUGUGUGUUUUGCUGUCAAGUUGGAUUAACCAUACUCUAAGAUUCAUGAAUUGAUUCUCUUUUCCAGCCUGAGGGAAGAACAAAGGGGAGUACGAUUUGGUCAAGCUUGUUGUAACUGGUUGAGAUUGCCUUGACAUGCUUGUUUGUAAAUAUUAUGCAUCUUUUACUGUUUGAGCUGAGAUGCUCCGUAAUGUUAAAAGUUUUAUAAAUUCUUGUUGAUGGCCCGUUUUUCUUUUAUAAAUCACUAAGUUAAGUCUUUGUCUUUAUUGUGAAACAUACCACCUGUUUGGUACCUACAAAGGAAUGGCAAUGAUAAUGACCCCUUAAUGACAAUGGGUUUUGAUCAAAACCCCCUCAAUGGUAUUCCAUUGUUUGGUAUACACAUCAAUAGGAUUAGGUUCCAGAGUUAAAUUUCUUUUUUCUGAUUUUCUCCUCAUCUUCUUCCUACCCUAAAUCAUCCAACCUGCAGAAACAUGGACGGCUACCAAGAACUACCAAUCAAGCUUUUACCAAAUCUACCACCCCAGCAUUUAAACAAAUCAUUUGUGACCAACCCAUGGUGAACAAUUGGCCGAGGCAAAUUUCUAACCUGUUUAAGCAUUUAAAACCCAUCCGCAAAUUCUAACCACAUUCAUCUCUACAGCCAAAGGUUACAAGCAACGAAAAAUGGCAUCGGUCUACAGCUGCAAAGAGUGUGGAGCCAAUCUAAACCUCCACACAAUCCAUCUCUACCCACCAGACUUCUAUUUUGAGGCAAGGAAUAAAGGGACUGUUUCUUUUGCCAUGAUUGACUUCCAAAUUCAGCUUCCAGAAGGAAAACAAGUUCGUACCCUUUUUCGAGACAGUCAAUUACUGGGGCAUCCAAUGGAAUUGAAAUAGGAGAGAGAUUCAAGACCAAGGCUUUAGGGAUCCAAGUUGAUCUCUGUUGGUGCCGUCUGCCACCUUGUGGAAGAAGAGAGAGGAAAGGAUCAAAGUUGUAGGGGGAGGCCUAAGAAAUAGGAGAGAGAGGAAUGGCAUGGAGAGAUUGGAAAAACGAGAUGGAAAGGGGGACGAGGAUGGAGACAUGGAGUAAGGGAGGAAGAGGAAUUGCCGGAGUUGGGGUGUGGGUGAACCACAGGAGAUUGGAGAGAAGGAGUUUAUUUUAUUUUGAUUUGGAAUUUUUGUUGACAAAAAAUGCAGGAGAAACGGUAAUGGACUGAAAGUCCCCACUUUGCUUGGUAAUGAGAAAACCCAUAGAGGAGGCUCUCGAAACCGAUAAAUUUAUUCCGAUAGUAAUCUUCCAAACAUCAACAAUCACUUUUAUUAACCCUUAAAACCCAUUCCUUGGUCUCAUACCACUCAACCAAACGGGUGGUUAAUUUCAUUAACAAAAUGUAGGGCACAAAGUGCUCUAGUUCUGGGGAUAUGGUGUUCUACUAUAUUCAAAAUUUUGUGUAUGUUUAGUUGUUCCAAGGAGAAUAGAAAUCCGGGAUGAUAAAUACUUAUUAGAAUUUUAUAUCCACAUUGUUUUCAAAUCGUAAGCUUAAUAAUCUAAUUUCUGUGCCAUUUUUCUUUUUUCUAGAUGGAGAGAUUGGAAAAGGAGAUCAAGGCAGCAAAGUUUGCUGAGCUCACCAAUAAGCAUUUUGCUGCCAGUUCGGUUCCAAAAGGCCUUCACUGCCUUUCUUUGCGUUUGACAGAUGAAUACUCCUCUAAUGCUCAUGCACGAAAACAAUUGCCUUCUCCUGAAUUACUUCCUUUGCUUUCUGACAACUUGUACCAUCAUUUUGUGGUGUCAACCGAUAACAUUCUGGCUGCAGCAGUGGUGGUUAAUUCUACCGUUCAGUCUUCUCUAAAUCCUGAAAAAAUUGUUUUCCAUGUCAUCACGGACAAGAAAACAUAUGCAGGCAUGCAUUCCUGGUUUGCGUUGAAUCCUAUCUCUCCUGCUAUUAUUGAAGUAAAAGGAGUUCAUCAGUUUGAUUGGUUAACUAGAGAGAAUGUUCCAGUGCUUGAAGCAGUGGAGAACCAUAAUGUGAUUCGAAAGUAUUACCAUGGAAAUCAUGUGGCUGGGGCCAAUCUCAGUGAUACCACUCCCAGAACAUUCGCGUCAAAAUUGCAGGCUAGAAGUCCCAAAUAUAUAUCUUUGCUCAACCAUCUCAGAAUAUAUUUGCCUGAGGUAGUCUUUUCUUGCUACUUGCAUAUUUUUUGUACGUCUACAGUCUUUGAUAUACACAAAAUACAGAAAUCCACUUUCUCCUCCCCUUCCCCACGCCUUCUCUUUCUCUCUGUCCCAAUAUAUAUCUUUGCUCAACCAUCUCGGAAUAUAUUUGCCUGAGGUAGUCUUUUCUCGUUACUUAAUAUUUUUUGUAUGUCUACAGUCUUUGAUACACAUGAAAUACAGAAAUCCACUUUCUCUUCCCCCUCCCCACGUUCUCUCUUUCUCUCUCUCUCUCUCUCACACACACACACACGUGCAGCUGCACUGUCAUAUCAUUCCACAACCUGCAAUUAGGUAUUGUAUUGUUCAUAUUUUUUCCUUUAUUUAGAAGAAGUUGAACUAAUUUUUAGUUUUUAUUUAUGAAUGCCAGUUAAUGCUCUACUUGCCCUGUCCUAAUGAUGAAUUUUGUGAACUUUAAAUGAGAAAUGAUAUUGGUUGCCUGUAAGUAUAUUGGCAUAGAAAGCUGAAUGACCUUAAACUGUGGGCAAACUUCAGUACCCUUUUUAAGCAAUGGAAGCUAAUGGAAAAUUAUGUGAGACAUCCUUUGGUUUCUUUUGUCCUCCAGUGCUCUUAUGAAAUAUUUUCUGUUUUUGUGUAGCUCUUUCCAAACCUCGACAAGGUGGUUUUCUUAGACGAUGAUGUCGUCAUUCAGCAAGACUUGUCACCUCUCUGGGAUAUCGAUCUUCAUGGAAAAGUCAAUGGAGCUGUAGAAACCUGUAAAGGUGAAGAUGAGUGGGUAAUGUCUAAGAGAUUCAGGAAUUACUUCAAUUUCUCUCAUCCCCUUAUAGCAAAGAAUCUGAACCCUGAAGAAUGUGCAUGGGCUUACGGGAUGAAUAUUUUUGACUUGCGUGCGUGGAGACAGACAAAUGUAAGAGAGACUUAUCAUGCGUGGCUUAAGGAGGUAGGAGGAGCUUGUGUGCUUCUAAGGGACUUGAAUGCUUUGCAUCUAUUGCACUUAUGUGAUUUCAUAUUAUGAGAACUUUUGAAAAAUAAGCAAAAUCAAAAUAAAAAAAAUAAUCAAGAUUAAAUUUUAGGAAUUAAAAGUUGAGUUAUGCGUAGAUGAAUUUAGUUGUCAAGUUUGAUUGCUAUUUGUUUUGCAAUUCCCUUUGAUGCCUAGGGUCAUCAUAUUAUUUUUUUGUGUGCAAACUUAAGUUCUGAAGUUGGGUUGAAAUUAGAGUACUGCUUUAUACUUCUGCCUGCUUUCUGUAAACUUAUGUUAGAUUAUUGUUAUCCUGUACCCUAAAGUUAGAUAAAUGUUGUCCUGUAACCUAAAGUUAAGUUGUUGUCUUCAUUGUAAUUUGGAUGUUAGUUGAUUUUCGGCUUCCAUGAAGCCAACACUAAAUGAUUCCUAUUGAUCUGGUGCCUUGGCAGCCAUAAUAUCUCGCUGCCCCUGUUUUAGUUGUUGGCUAGCAUGAGGAGGAUAUGGGGGGCUUAAUAUGCUCUUAUCUAAAGUAGCACAGCGUUUGAGCUUCUUUCUGUUGUUAAAAGUGGUUAGAUUGGUUUAAGAAAUCUGAUAAGAACUGGGAUUGCUUUCACAAUCUUAAUUUUUUUCAAAGAAUGUCUUUUGUUGUUGCUGUCUUGCAUUGUUUAUCAAGUGUCAAAAACUUUUGGACCUUGGUAUGCUAUGAUAACUGUUUCUCACGGAAAUGGUGGGGUAUUGCAGAAUCUGAUGUCAAACCUAACACUGUGGAAGCUAGGUACUUUACCUCCUGCUUUAAUUGCAUUCAAGGGUCAUGUUCACCCAAUUGACCCCUUCUGGCACAUGCUUGGCUUGGGGUACCAGAACAAGACCAACAUUGAAAAUCUUAGAAAGGCUGCUGUAAUUCACUACAACGGCCAAGCAAAGCCAUGGCUGGAGAUAGGUUUUGAGCAUCUCCGACCAUUUUGGACCAAGCAUGUCAACUACUCCAAUGACUUCGUCAGGAACUGCCACAUUUUGGAGUAGAAGUCCACUGAUGAAUUGCAUCGAAAGCAAAACAUGGGAUGGAAGCUGGAAAGAGAGUAGUUUUUCCUAAGAUCGUUGCUCGGCUUUGAGAAACUUGUUGGUAUGCAUUUGACAAAAAAUUUGGACUGGGACACAAUUUUUCAUGGAAGCGACUGGAUUUUGCUGCUGUCCUCCCUCUACCGAACAAGGGCCUGCGUUGGCAUGGGUUUGAGAUUCAUUCUUUCAUGUAUAAUAGCAUUUCGUGAUCUAUUCUUUUUGGUUGCACAAAGGACAUUAUUUUUGACCUCCUCGAUAGGCCUUACCAGUGUCUAAUUGCUAAGAAGGAAAUAAUGGGAAGAAAGGGCGUGGAUGGAAAUGUGACUUAAUGCCAUUGGUUGUACAAAUUGACCGAGAAGGAAUCUAGGGAUGCGGCCCCUCUUCCAGGCUCGCAGUUUGGCCCCAUUAGGCAUAGGAAUGGAAUUUUAUUUUCUUUUUCCCCCUCUUUACUCCUCAUUUUUAUUAUCUAUGUUAGUUUGCUGCCGUUCACCGACUUUUCCCCCCCCCCCCCUCCCCUAUUGCGAUUGUUUUAUCGUUAUGGUGACUUUAGAGGUAGAUUCCUGAGCUUUGCUCAGAUAGAGGUUCCCUUGAGCAAAGGAACUACUUUAGGUUACAUUACAUGUCGGUUCUGGUUUUGUACAAUUCAUGGAUAUUGUUGAAAUGUGCAGAAAAUUCUUUUUCAUUACCAAGUUAUUGAGUUUUAUUGUUGUUCUGCGAUUUGGUACAUGAUGAUGUUUGCUUGAAUUGGGAGCCACAUUUGAUUUGCCUUUGAGUUGAAUACUAUACCAUGUUUCUGGAUUAGGUGACGGAUGUGAUAUAAAAGAGAAACAAAAGGAAAAGGGGGAAAGGAUUCUUGUUUUAGGAUAUGCUUAGUUGGCGAUGACAAGAAAGGCAUUAAGAUUUGAGAAUAUAGAUAUAAUAAAUAAAAGAGUCUAUUCCCAUUUCUGAUACGUCGAGCUUUUGGUGUUGGUGUAUGGCAGCUAUUUCAAGGCCGCCGUAUUCGGUUAGUUUAAGUAAAAUCCACUGAGGAGACAAAGGUUGAGGAUGACUGACUUGGUCCUUUCCAAUUGAAAGAAAAGAAAAUGGUUCGGUGUAAUUGCUGUUCUUAAUUAAAUACAACGGCUUUCUUUCUUUUCUCUUGUUUUUUUCCCGCUUAUCCAAACCUUAUUAAUUAUGUAUCUUCUCAUUUGUUUAAGUGAUUUCCUACCAAAACAAUUAUAUUGUAAUUUGAAUUUUAUGAUUAUCGUGCCUCAACUAAAUGUCACCUUUCUAACCACGGAGGAAAGUUCAAAAAAGAAAAUAAAAACAAGGAAAAUGAGACUGGCAUUCAGGGCACAGUUGAAAUCUGCCAUCAUAUAUAUGUUGACAUCCUUAUGCUUUCUUUCCCUGUGGAUUAUGGGAAGGGAAUAUACGCCUUUAUUUCAUUAGUAUAAUUAAUUAAAUGAUAUCGGGAAGGCAAUCCUUUUCGCAGAUCGUUGAAUUAUUUUAAAUAAAUAUUUUAUUUGUAUCAUAAAUAUAUUUUUAAUUUACUUUUUUAUAUUUUUAAUUAUUUUUUAUUUUAUAUAUAUUACGUCACACACAAAAAGUGUUACAGUAAUUAUUUCAAAUAAUAUUUUAAAUAAUUUUUUUUUCCAAACACACUCAAUAUGCAAAUGUAGCACAGUGCAGAGUUAAAAUAAAGCCAUAAUCUUGAAAACAGAAAGUAGACGCAGUGUAUUAUUAUUGUUAUACUCUUUCCCAACCCAAAAAAAAAAGGAAAAAAAAACUAAAAAAGGAAAAUAUGUCGAUUUUUCCACAGACUAAGGAGGAUUGGAAGGAGAAGACAAAGGGCACAAAAGGAUGGAUGGAUUCAUAGACCAUAGGUUUAGAAGACUUUGAAAACUCCGAAACAGCCUCGUCUCUGGGCAUUUCUUUCAUCUCUUCCUCUUCUUGAGACUUUUCAUAAUUAUUAUUUGUUAAUUAAUCGAAGAUUAUUUUACUAUUAAUUGCGUUACACGCAUUGGCUGCUCCCCUCCUCCAUUGGCUUUCGGUGCUUCAACUAUUGAGCUUGUUGGCGAAUAAGAGAGAG